CCUUCAUGAACAUCAAUGCCAUGCAUUUUAUCAGAGCAAAGACUUGGAAGCUGGUGUGCUUUGCCAGCAAAGGUGUGGAAGUACUCAUCAGGAUCAAACUUGAUCCUUAUCUCAGCCUCCAAUGUUUCUGCUGUAUUAGCCAUAGUUCCUUCUAGCUCUGCUAGUCACAAAACCACUGAUCAGCUCACCUUGACCUAGUAGAAUGCAAAUGCUAACGUGUAUGGACCUUAACCAUCGGACCAACAUUUAUAGAGGGCCAGUCCCAAGUUUCCGUACAUCUGUGGUAGUUGGACUAGCAUCUUCAAUCUCUGUCAAUUAUCUUUUAAAUUUUAUGCAGUUAUACCAUCAAAAUUAGACAUCUCAAAUUUGAAUGCGCUUAAAUUUGUCUUGCUAUUUCUCUUUUUGAUAGUCGAGAAAAUUUUGUAUCAUCUGGAACAACUUUUAAUAGGAUUAGAUUUAUUAUCUUUGAUAUAAGAAUAGGAGGUAACAUGUCACAGAUUCAAGCUCAGAGGAAGAUAAGUGUAGACGUAUAGUAAUUGGCGAAAACUCAUUGUACCGUAUACUUCAUUAUAGACAAAAUUCUGUCCUUUCACCACAUAUUUGCGAAAUGAAUGCUCUCAAAAAAAAAAAAAAAAAGUGAUCUAGUGGCUUAAUUAUAUGACCACACCUAUUCUUUUCGGCAAAUAGGCCCCAAUUCAUCAAUCAAACUUUAGUCACAGGUCUUAUUUUACAGAUCAACCAUGAGACAAAAAGCAAGACUUGGUACAAUCUCAUGACCAAUCGCUCGAAGUUCAUCAAGCACAAUUUCGACAACAAUGAAAGCAGUAGGUACCCAUUGGCCAUUUCGCCUGAUCCUUCACGCUGGAGUAACAUCAAUCGAGCUGUUUACCUCAUCGGACCUCCUUCUUCAUCAAUGCCAAUCCAUCCACCAUCUGAAUGAGACAUUACAUUACUUUGCUCAUAAUGCGCUCCCCACUCUGGGAAUUAAUAUUUGACUAUAGUUUAGCAAAAUUGCUUAGCUACAAUGUUGUCCUCCAGCACCAAAAAGCAUCUAUAGCCCCCAAAUUUAGUUCUUUUUCUUUUCCUUUUUCUAACUAUGAAGUAUCUCUUUUUCCGACAAAUAGACAACAAGGUUUUAAAUUUCCUUACUCAAGUUGGAGGGCCCAAUUGAUUGACCCACUAUCAGACCAAACCGAUGCACUACACAUCUGUAUGAAUUUAAGCAAUUUAAAGUGGCAAGCCACAUAUAGUAGCAAGUAGUGAAAAAUAAAAUUUGAACUCUUGACCUCCUACCUCACCAAAUGUUAAAGAUUAUGGUAGUAACCAACAUCCCAAAUGACUGUUGGUUUAUUUCUAUCUCAGUAGUUGUUCACCCAAUAUUCUAAGUACAGAUUUCUCGGUCCUUUUCAUGUUAAAAUGAAAAAGAAAAAAAAAACAGUAGGAAGUGCUUUGUCUGUUAUUAUUAAGGAUAUAAAUGUUAGCUAAUCUUCUUGCUAGUAAAAACUUUACUCUUUCUAGUAUAUAUAAACAUCGAAUGCAGGUUGUGUUUAUCAACAUACUACUCUUUUAUUCUUCUAUUUCUCUAAAAUUAAAAAAAAAACAUAUGUUUAUUUGAACCAAAUGCGCAAGCUAUAUCGCGUAUUUUGCCUAUACAAACAAUUGAAGUAUCAUAAAGUACGCUUGCGUGGAACUCUAAGGAGUUAUUCAUCGUAGAAAAGUUGUAAAAUAAAAAUUUAUUGAAAUAUAAAGAAAAGCUCUUAAUUUUUAUCCUAAAACAACUUUAUCAUUCCAAACCCUUGGAGUGAACCAAAAUAUGUUUACUCUAAUAUAAGAAGGAUCUAAAAUUCUGCAAUCACUGAAAAGUUUAUGCAACAAUUUUGUUACUAAAAAGUGUAAAAUGAUCUCAAUUAAUUAAGCAAUGCGUCACUCAUGAUUUCAAUUUGAAGUUGAAAUUUCAAUGCAUCACUCAUUAAGCAAUACAUAGUUGAAAUUUGAAGUUGGCUACAAUGAAUUACUUUCACACAAUUAUCACACACACACACACACACACAAAGAGAUAAUCAAGUAUAUGCUGGCUAUUAGAUAAAAAUUAAUUAUUUGAUGACUAUCAAUGGAAGAUACACUAUUAUUGGAUACGCUCCCACAAGCUGAAGUCAAGUCAGUCACGUACAGUAAAGACGCCUGUCCCUAAAGUUUUAAUCAAAACACAUUUCAUCCUUAUAGUUCUAUAAUUUUGAUCGAUUUCAUCCCUAAAGUUUCAUGUAAACAUAUUUUAUCCUCAUAGUUUCAUAAAAUUAACCAAUUGAGGACAAUUGAAUAAUUGUUAACCAAUUUGGACCAAGUAUCAUUACAUAACUAGCAUUUCCCAUUGAUAAUUGUAUUAAUACUUAAUUCGAUUAUUGAUUAAAUUAUAUAAAUAACAAUGAGUGUGUUCGGAUAAAAUAUUAUUACUUUUAAAUUUGUGAUAUAAUAUAUGUGAAAUAAAAAAAUAAAUUAAAUGAUACAUAGACAAUUUGAAAAACAUGUAUAUAAUGCUACGAAACAAAAAUUUUAGAAACAAAUGGCAAUCGAAACAGUUCUUUCUUUCACGUUAAUAUUUUUCUUCAAUUGAUUGCAAUGGGAUUGUUUGAAAGAUUUAUCCAAUUGGCUAUAAUGGAGUUAUUUCUUCUCCAUGACUUCGUUUCCUCUCAAUCUUUUUGUUCAAUUUGUGAUUAAGAAGAGAAUCAUGGUGGUUGAAAAUUUCUUAGUUUUGUUUAAAUAAGAAAGUGAAUUAAAAAAUAAUUUUUGAGGUUUUUGGUUGAUCCAAUAUUUUCUGAAUUUUACUAACAUGCAUGCUAUGGCCAAGUGAUGAUAUUCCAUUCAAAUUGCUUGGCAAUCAAUCAAUUAUUCUUAAUUAGUCAAAUUUACGAACUUAUGAAAAUGAAAUGUGUUUACAUGAAACGUUAAAAAUGAAAUUGGUCAAAAUUAUAAAAUUGUAAUGAUAAAAUGUGUUUUGACUGAAAUUUUGGGGACGAAAUUGCCUAACACCUCAAAUAAUGAGGACGAAAAGUGCAUUUUUCCCUAAAAAUAAAAUGAACCUUCGUUCUACCCCUUAUGUUUUUGGGCUACACUCCUUUUUAGUUAUUAAUUACUAUGUUGAUAUUCAAGAUAACCGAACGUAUAUAGCUAGACAUGUUCCUUUCGAGGAAUCUAGUUUUCCCCAUUCCCUGGUCCUUCUAUACUUGGUCCACCACCACGUCAAAACAAACCAAUUCAAUCCACCCUUGUUCUACCAAUUCAUGUUUUCAAAUUCAAUGGAUCCUACAAACAUUUUUUAUCAAAAACCGACCACUACUCUAAUCCUUCUUGUCAAAGUCAAAUGAACUGACCCGAUGCUACUUCGUCACGUAACCAACCAGAACAAAAACACUACUACUUUAGCAAAACUUAUCUCUAAACCUUCUGUGGCGUCAUCUGAACUUAUCUCUAAAUUGAAAUAUGAAGUUAGCUGACAAUAAAUUACUUUCACUCAAUUAUUACUUAACAAAAUAAGUACAGUAUAUUGAAAAUCAAGAUGAGAAUGUGGGGUUGGGACAUCUACAUUUGCUUUCUAGUAUAGCGUCCAUUUCACCAUGUUCACAUCACCUUGGGCAGUUGCCUGGAGAGUGGCUUUUACCAAAACAAAGGUCUAAAUUUAAUUGAAAAAUAAAAGUAAAUAUCAAAAUGGUGGAAUUAAAACAAGCAUGUAUAAGCUGGAAUCCAUCAACAAAAUUAAAAAAAAAAAAAAAGAAUAAAGAGAUUAAUUUGUUAAACUCACAUAGUAAUUUUCAAGGCCAUAAAACUAUGUUCAUCCCAGAUAGAGUCUGAUCAUUAAUCAUUUGGAGUACAUGACAGGCCAGUAUAAUUUCUUAUAUUUGGAUAGAUUAGAUCUAUGUAGAUCUUGUGAUUCAAAUUUUGUCAUAUCAUCUCACCAACUGAAGAAUUGAUGGUGUAGAAAAUUGUACCACAAGAUCAAGCCUAUCCAAGUUUUUUACCUUCUCGGUAAACUAUGAGUGUGUUUGGAUUGUAAGUUAUGUGAAAUAUUUUUACUGUAGCACUUUUUGUGAUGUGAUGUAUGUGAGAUAAAAAGGUAAUUGGGAAGAUAAAAAGGUGUAUUGGAAAUUGUAAUGGUGAUGUCAGCAAAUAUAUUUGGCCAAAUAAUUGGCUGUCCAAACACGCUCUAUAUCAUUACUUAGUUUUAUGGGUAUCUUUUCCUUGCCAAGAAAACUAAUGAAAUGACUGAUUUUUUUUUUUUUUGGCGGGUAAAGGCAACCACUUGAGUGAUUUCAGGAUAGACAAUGAUGACUUUAAGCCAUCAAAGUUUACUUUGCAGUAAAAAUGUAUGGCUCCAAAAUUUUUCUCAGUCUUGUUAAAAGCUAUCAUAUAUAUAUAUAUAUAUGUGUCUGCUUUUUCUCCUACAGAUUACUUACUGAGUAAUAAAUUUCUUGGCCCAUGACAAUAGGAACCGUCCGUCGUGGUGUCACAUACCUAAGGGAGAUUCCACUGAUAUUUCUAAGGUAGGUAGGACCAAUAGGAACCGAAAGAUGACUCAGGAGUUUCAAAACUCGGUUUGGACUUUGGACCCCAACCACUUUACACUAGAGCGCAUUGUGCAGUACAUCCAUGGGCCUUCACACCUUCCCCACCACAAAUUACAAGGACAGGACAGGAGCAUAAAAAUUGGCCUUCCGUUGCCGCCCUAUCUCUUUCACUACAGAAGAACGUGUUGUAUGUGUAUCCAUGGGCCUGGUCCUGGGCCUUCCCAACCCCACCACUAAUUAAACGAGAUGGGACAGCGACCCACGUGUCCAUUUGUUUUGUUUGUGACACUCUAAGACAGCGCCAAUAGAGGGAACUGUCAACUACUCACACCAAUGACUCAUCUUCGCCUAUGAUAGGACAGCAACCUUUUGACCAUUCUACGGUGGCCAAUUUGUACGUGUCAGAAGAGUAAAGGUAAACGUAACAUGCUGUCAAACCUCUCGUUUAGGUCGUGGUGGAUUGCUGAUUUUGGAGUUUCUACAUAAAAAUGUAUUAUUAUAGUGAUUGAAUGUAUGCAGAAAAAUGAGUAGAAAAUUUAUUUACGGGAAAAAUGUGAUUUUUUUUUUUUGGAAAAAAUGACUUUCCAAAUGAUGUCUAGAGUCGGGUACAAACUACCCACAACGAAUACAAACUAUCAAUCACAAUUAUUAGAUUUAAACCACAUGCUUUUAUCUAUUGUCUGAGAGCAGUAAUUCUUAAUUUCAGCAUUACUAGAAAAAUGUAAAACCGAUUCCGCAGGUUUAUACUUGAUGUGUUUGAAACCGCAACGGAUCUUCUGUCCCACACCCUGUGCCACUCUCUGUCCCACUUUUUAUUAUAUUGCUAUUUCUCCUACAUAAAUAUCAUGUUUUAGUUCUUUUUUGUUUUCUUAAGAUCCAACAACUAUUAAUUGAGUUAUACACAAAAUUUAACAUACUCAAAAAAUCAAAAUGCAUAAAAAAUGAGAGUUUUUAUGAAAUUUCUGCUGUAUUUUUUAAUUUUCUAUUAUAUAUUACUUUUUUGAAGCUGCUGUAUUUAUUUUUUACUCAAUUAAUAGUUAUUGAAUGUUAAGGAAACAAAAAAGAAUUAAAACAUGAUAUUUAUGUAAGAGAAAUAGCAAUAUAAUAAAAAGUGGGACAGAGAGUGGCACAUAGUGCAAGACAGAAGAUCCGUUGCGGUUUGAAACACUUCUCUUUAAAACUCUUUUCUCUCCCUUCUGACUAAAAACUCUUUUAAUCAAAAUCUCCUUCAUCUCUCCCAUCAGAAAGAAAUCAAAUCUGAUCCUUUUCCAUGGGAGGAAGUACUCUUUAUAAUUUCUAGUUUCUCUCAUUUGAAUAAAUUAUCUCCUAAGAUUUCAUAAUGAGAGAUUCUUCUCUCUUAAGAUUUUCUAGCAAGAGUUUCUUCUCUCUUAAAUUAUUUUAGUGGGAGUUUUAUUCUCUUCUGGGUUUUUCCUUGUGAGAGUUUUUCAGGUUUUUAUCUUUACUAAAUUUGAGAUUUUAUAGAUCUAGAAUCUAGUUUCUCAUAUCCGUAAUUUCUCUAUUAUUUUCAGAUCCAAAUUUCUCUUUGAACUUGAAUCAAUUUUAAUCAAAUCUGAUUGUCAACAAGUGUGCACUAAUAUAUUGGAAUACAGCAAUCCAUCUGGAUGGAAGAUAUAUAGAAGUACAAUGUUAUCUUUACUUAUAUUAUUUUCUUAGAUCUAUUAUAUCUAUUGAUUUCAGAUAUAUAUCUAUCUGUGUCAUGAUUGUUUGAUAUAUUUUCUGCUAUUAGUGCAGAUUUAUUUGAAUGAAAUGAUCUUUUCUAUAUAUAAAUCUGUGUCAUGAUUGUUUGAUAUAUUUUCUGCUAUUAGUGCAGAUUUGUUUGAAUUAAAUGAUCUUUUCUAUAUAUAAAAAAGGGAUAAUCUCAGAAACUUCCCUUGAGAUUUUUGACAAUUUUAGGAAGCCCCCCUCAAUAAAUUAAAAUUACACAUACCUCCCCUAUCAGUGCAAAAGUACUCUACUACCCCUCAUAGAAUACUUAAAGACAUUUUUUGUUGGAAAAUUUUUGAAUAUCCAAACCAAAAACAAAAACAGCAACAAUUGAUUCUCUCUCUUGGAUGCCCCUUACCUUGCUUUUUUUCCCACAUCCUCCUUUGCCCAACUUCCCAUCGCCCGUCUCCAAUUCUCGUCUACCCAACUUUCCUGUUCUACUUUAGGACCUAACUAUUGCCCAUCAACUCUUGCCCGUGCUUGUCCCCCUCUUUUUCCUACUUGACUUAUCCUUUUUUUUUUUUUUUUACUUUUUCUACAUCAAUUCCCUUCUCUUUGCAAACUUGAUUUGAUUAGACUCAUCCCUUCCUCCUUUUUUUUCCUAUUCAGGGUGUGGUGGGUUUGAUUUUUUUUUUUUUUUUGUAUCUAUGUUCUUUAUCCAAUUUUAGUUGAUUAUGGGUGAUAAAACUUUGUGAUGCCAAAGAUCAAUCAUUGAGUUUUUCAAAAAUUAGUUUUUCAAAUACUAUAAAAAUUUUAAAAAGUACUCUAAAAGGUACUCUAAAAAGUAGUCUUAAAUUUUUUUUAAUGUUUAAAAAAUAUCCCAAAAUAUAUUCUAAAAACUCUACUAUUCUUAAAUAUUUCAAAAUAUAUUCUAAAAAUAUUUCAAAAUGUACUCUAAAAACUUCGCUGCAGUCAAAUUUUUUAAAAGCAUUUCCAACAACAGCUAAUCCAAAGGGCUCAGUCCAAGAGUUUGAGAAAUGGAUCUUUGGUUUCAUAAAAUGGGUUGUUGAAAGAAAACAAAAGGCUGCAAAGGGAGGAAGAGUAAGGGGGUUUGACAUGUGGGAUUGGUUGCUGAUGGAGUGUUGGUUUUAGAUCAAAUUUGAGGUUUUUUUUUAUUUCUGGUAAAAUUUGAUGGAGUAUCGAUUUAAUUUUAUCAGUUUAAUAAUAAGAGGCGGGUGUAUUUACCUUGUAGAGAAAGUGUUGGGGCUGGAUAGAGAGUAAGAAUUAGCCUAGGCUGCCGAAAGUAAAUUGGAUUGCGAUGUUUUGCGUGCCUACAAUUGUUGGAAUUGCUUUUGAUUCAGCUUGGGAUGUUUGCUUGGCUUUUCCGAUGGUGUUGCCAAGAAAAAGCAAUCAUCAAAAUUCUUUUUAUUUUAUUUUUAAAAAAUUUUUGGUAGAGAGGAUUUCUUGGCUUUUGAUAGUCUUGCUUGGAAGAAGACAAUCAACAAAAGAGGGCAAUUAGUGAAGACGAUUAGCAAAAAUCUUUUUCCUUUUCUUUUUUUUUUUUUUUUGGCAAGAAGGGUAGUUUAGGAUAUAUGAAGGAAAAUGUAGGCUCUUGGGUCUAUUUUGAAGCAUAAAUAGUGAAAGCAGGGGUGGUGGUGUAAUUUUUAAAAUUUAAGGGGAGCUCUCUGAAAUUGUUUGAAACCUCAGGGGAGGUUUCUGAAAUUAUCCCCAAAAAAUUUCAGCAUUACUAAAGUAAUUGUAUUGUGUUUAAACAACUUGUUUAUUUGCUUUUUCCUCUUUCACAUCUACUAACAUUUAUCAUUGUAAUCAUAUUUUACAUGUAAUAACGUGCAAAACAAAACCAUCGUAGUUAGCAAUUACUCCACUUCAUAUUUUAGUCCUUUUCCAAUUACUCAUGGUCACCAUUGCUAGAGUUAGGCAUUAAUUUUAAAAAUUGUAUCAAGUAUGUGAUCCGUUUUCUCUAUUGUCCAAUAAAAUGUCCUCACUAAUUAGUUUUCUUUUUCCAAUUCACUUUAUCCGCAUAAAUGAAAAUAAUAUUAUUCGUCGUGGAAUCACAUUUUUUUUAAGUGUAUUUGUGUUCUAUCAAUAUUCAGUGACAAAUACAAAUUUACAUUCAUUUGUCUCUUCUUUCAAUCUCCAAUGCACAAAUUUAAUAAAAUUAUAUAUUAUUUUAUUUCUUAUAUUCACUGAAUUAUACAACCAUGUACUUGUAACUUUUGCCUAGCAUAAUGAACAUUGUCUAAUGUAAAGGGCUCUAUUACCAUAUAUAUAUAUAUAUAUAUGUAGAACUCAAAUUUUUAAAGAUUUCUAUUAGUGGCAACACCUGCAGUUAAGAUCUUAUAAAUUCUCUUGACUCUUAUAGAUACUCUUAACAAGAUUUAUUAACUAAUGUUUUAUAUAUAACCUACUAGACUUAUUGUGUAAGAAAUCACUUACGCAAAAAAUUGCUAAAUAAAGUAUAAAUUCCUAAAUUACAUAACUACUAAAAACCUGAUUCUAAAUAAAACUACUAAAUGAUUAGACAAAAACUUGUAGUCUUGAUUCAUUUGCCAGCAAAUCAAUCAUAUAGUAUUUGUUAGCCACUAAUUUUGUCAACCCAUAUCAAGUCUUUUACGUGCCACCAAUAAUAGCUCUUUUAUCGGCAUUGACCUAUUACCCAAUUUGAACUUCAUCCCUGCAAGAAGCACGACGAUCUAAUUUGGACAACAAAGAACUCGAUCAGGGUGGGUGGGGGGAACCAGAAGAGAUGGGACCUUAUGGCCCUGCUCGCCAACUCAGUUAUCUUAGAGUUAAUUGCAAGAAAAUCUCGUCCAAAACGUGCACAUCGUGUUUUGCCUUGCCAUCUAAUCUUCUUCUUCUUUUUUUUUUUUUUUUGCUUUGCUCUCUAACCUGACUGUUCUGACACCAGAAAUAUUUGUAAAUUUAUUUCUUGCCCAUUUGAACAAACUUGAAAAUAUAAAAAAAAUGACCUCUUUUAAUGCAGUAUCAAUUACUUCUGGAAAGCAACUUUGCUAUAAAACGCAACCACCGAUACCCCAGUCACUAUUUAUUUGACACAAUAACAAUAAAUCUUUUUUCUACGCAUGCUUCAUGUCAUAAUCAUCGAACUUUACAUGAAGUGUUCAUCAAAAUUGGUCUCCCAACUUUGAUCUUAUCAGCUCAUUCUACCAUUUAAUGCGACCGAAAAGAAAGUGAAACCAUCCCCGGCCCAAAUCUGCCCGAAUACCAUCAAAUGAGUAGCCUACAUGAAUGUGUUAUGUACUACAAUCUUUUUCCUACUGCAGCUUGAUGAAAAUGGGAAUUAGUUUUACCCUUCAACUCGUACAGACCAUCAACUCGUAUAGACAAUCAAUAUACACAAAUUUUCUUUUACUGCAGUUUCUACAUUGAUCUCCUUUUUCUAAUAUUAAGUAACACGAUGAAUUAAUCUCUUAAACUUCCAAAUUGCAGUAAUUACAGACAGAUGUUUGCCAACUUACAACUACAGCUUCGCUAAAUUUCUCAAAUGUAGGUAUGAAACCAGAGAAUUCUAGUAGGGUUAAUUAGAAAUAUCCAAAAAUAUUCAGGCAAUUCAUAGAAUUAUACUUAUUAAAGCAUGUCCUAAUAAUUAUAGUGGAAGUAGUUUAAAAAAAAAGGAAUGUUGGGAACAAAUUAAGCUAAUUAAAAAUAAUCAUUGUCUUUGUCAUACCUAACAAUUUCAUUCAAAAAUAAUUAUUGUCUUUUUCAUACCUAACAAUUUCAAGUUAAUUAAAUUACGGCUUUUUUUAAAAAAAAAGAUAGUAAGACAACAUCGUAUAGUUUAGCUUAUUAAACAUUCAGUUUUAGAUGUUUAUCAAACAUUAUAGAUAGAUUCAGUAUUAAGAUUCAGAUAUUUAUAUAUUUCUUUUCAGCACUUAAAAUUUAGCAAAUUAAUUGUUUCAAUAUUCAGUUUCAGAAUUCAGAUUCAAUUUUAUCAAAUAGGAUCUUAGUGUGUACUCCUAAUUGUAAUUGAAUUUGAUAUUUUAAAAUUGACAUUCAAUACAAACUUCUAUGUUUAACUAAAUUUGAUUUUUCAAAGCCACAAUUAAUACAAAAUCUCAAAUUUAACUAAAUUUGAUUGUAAAUCAUAUUUAGUACAAGAUGUUAAUUUUAACUAAAUGUGAUUUUAUAAAUGUGACAUUCGCUACAAACUCUUAAUUUUAACUAAAUUUGAUUCUCUGAAAGUCACUUUCAUAAAAAAAUAAAAAAACAAUUUUAACUAAACGAGAUUUCCUUACAUUCACAUUCUAUACAAACUCACAGUUUUAGCUACAUUUGAUUAUUUGUUGAAACGUGAUGCAACAUGUUUGGUAUACGUAACUUGAUGGAACAAAUUUGUGCGUUUGAUAUUUUGUUUGAUCAAUGUUUCUAAACAAACUUGAAGUAACAUAUUUGCGGACGUGCUAGUGUACAAGUCAAUAUUCCUAGCUACUCAAUUUGUCAGGAUCAUAAUCUGUUUUAUCUUAAUUUGUCAGGAUCAUUGUCUGUGUUACUCAAUUUGUCGUUGCUGUUUAGUUCAGCAAAUGUUACUCCAAAUCCUAGGCACAUGAAACAAAGAAAAUUAUACUUCUUUUUUGGUACAAAAAGAAAAAUUACACUUCAAUUACUGCAUUAGUAUAUGGUAUUUUACAAAAUUGGUGACAGAAAGAAUAAGUUGUGAUGCAUAUGUCAUCUUACGCACCUUAAUAUGCAACACUGGUCUGGAGUAAAUAAAAAGGAGAAUUUAUGUAAUCAAAAUAGCAAUUAAUCAAUCUUAGAAUUUUAGUAUUGAGUUAGUUUUUGUUACCUAUUGCAUAAGUCCAAUGCUUGACGGAGCCCUCAGUUUUUCGAUCGCCUUCGUGAAGAUUAACACCAUGUACUUUGUCGGAGCAAAGAUUUGGAGGUUGGUGUGCUUUACCACCAAAGCUAUGGAAGAAUUCAUCAGGAUCAGGCUUGACCUUUAUCUCAGCUUCUAAAUUUUCCAGCCAGAUUUGGACUAUCCAUAAUUGGUUGAAGUAAUACUGAAAAACAACUAUGCAUUUUUUGCUAGUAAAUGUUGUAUCAACUCAACUGGCUCAACCAACGUUUAUAGGAUCAAUUUUCAUGUUGCAGUAGCAUUAAGAUUAUUACGUAGAUGAAGUCCACAUUUUGUGCUUAAGAUCUCAAUUGGAGAAAACUUUCAGAUGAUAGUAUUUACUACUUGCGUAAUUAGCUUGAUAAUUUUAUUAGAGGGGUAAAAAAUGUCGUAGCAUCGGUUCACUUGGUAGUAGACAAAUUUUUUUUUCCCAAGUUCUACAAUGUUUUUUGGAUGAUUGGAAAAGGAAUUCAGAGUAUGUUGACAACUUUUUUUUUUAAGGUAGUCACUCGUAUUGUUGCAAGAAUGGAAAUAAAAAAAAAAAAAAAAUUGGCCCUUCAAACCAAGAAACUGUACAUUCAUCCACUUCAUGAAUGGUGAAGCGCAAUAGAAAGUCGUCUAUUUUUUUUUACUUUUUACUUCUUCUCCUUACUUUGUUGGAUACUCAACAACACGAUGGUUUUGCUGAACAACACCAUGAAAGCAACUCUUCGGCCAUUUCCAUGUUGAAAAUUUCAGAAUGGAAACCUCAAUUGUUGCAAAGUCGAUGCUUGACAACUUUAAGGUGGCAUAAAGUGACUAUCAUGAAAGUUCAAAAUACAAGUGAGAACUAAUGCUAUAGUACAAAGAAACAACUUCAAAAUGGCAGCUGCUAAUAAUUGUCAUCAUACAUAUGCAACAAAUAUUGAAGACCUAGGAUCAAUUGGCAUACACAGGGAUAAAGAUCUUACUGAUGAAUUGAUCCAUGUAGCACAAAGAUAUGCAUCUAAUUCGAUUACAUUCUUUAUUUUUUGUUUUGCUUUUCCGUGCAAUUUUAUUGUACUAAUUCCUUUUACUGCUGCAGAAAUCUAUAUGCUCCAUUAAUUACAAGCAUAUAUAUUAGGCCUUGAUAAGUGAAGCGUCCACAUCCUUCCCCAUAUGAAGUAGCCAGUCCAGAUAUUUAGUCGGACUAGGCAUAUUCUCGUUCAGUUUUUCAUAGUCAAUGGUAUAUUUGGCAAAGCUGGAGACACCUCUGGAGAUAACUUGUAACGUUAUUAUAUAGUUCUUGUAGUGCUUCAUGCAAUCUCCAUCUAUUGCCUCAGAAGUAAUUGUCUUGUUCUCCUCGUCAAUUUUGAGCCUGUCUUUGAAGACCUCAACUUUGCCAUCUAUAUUUUCAUCACAAGGAGAUUCAUCAGUAGCUAUCAGGCUCUAUUUGCCACAUUUUGGUAAAAAUUCAAUGCAAAAUGAAAAUUCCAGUGGGAAAAAAAAAUGAAUUAGGAAAAGUUCCAUGCUUCACAACACCAAACUAAGUUACAAUAUACACUCCUUAUCCUUGAUGUCUUUCUAAUUUUCUUAUGUAAAAAUUAAACAAUUGGUCAGGUAUGCUAACUACUUCACAAGCAAGGGCACAAAAAACUCAUAAAAAUGAAAGGGGUAAAUGGACAUCAAGACACGAGUGGAAUGGUGGCUUCACCUAUGACAUAAGUCCACAGCUUGAUAGAGCCGUCAGUUUUCCAGUCACCUUCGUGCACUUCAAUCCUGUUAACUUUCUCAUUCACAAGAUCUGGGAGUUGGUGUGCUUUAGCGCCAAAGCUAUGGAAGAACUCAUCAGCAUCAGACUUCAGCUCGAAUUCAGCCUCCAACUUACCUACUAAAUUAUUAGCCAUAGGAGAAAGUUUCAAGAAUUGAUUAAAAAAAAAACUACUAAUAACCUUGAUAAUACUAUGUAUUAUGCAACUCAGUCACACCUGAUUUAUAGAUGCUUCAUGAAUUGGUUGGCUCCCACAAGUUAGAAAUGUGCGGUUCUCUCUUUCUUUGCUGCAAAACACACGUUGCGAUGUGUUUUCAGGCAACCACACAUUUCUAACUGCGAAUUGCACUGUGAAAUACUAUUGAUCAUAUGGGAUUUACUUUGCUGUCUGAUCCCUUAUCCAUUGAAAGCAGAAAUCAAAGUUGCUGUACAUUCCAAUUGAUAAUUCCUCGGGCAAGUUUUCUUUAUUUUGCUAAGCUGUGCAUCUAGGGCAUCAUGCCAAUUAAAUUCAACCAUAGAGAGAAUAAUUUCCACUUUGCGUCCACAAUGUUUUAAUAGAUUUUCAGUCUGCACUUGAAAAUUUUAAUUUAAAUACUUUAUCAUAUUGGAAAUUACAUAUAUUUUUCUCUUAAAAAGUAAAAUUACCGUCGUUAAACUACAUUAUGUUUUACCACAAAUAUUUUUGUAAUCUUUUGGUAACUCUAUGGUUUAAUCCAGAUAUAAAAUGGGAAAAUAUACAAAUGGAGCAUCGUUGAAAGGACAGGAAAUUAACUUUUGGUAUGCAACUCCAAAUAAUGUAGCUAAGAAGCCAAUAUUGCUUUACACCAGUUAUUUAUAUUCAUCUACUUUUUACGUACCUGUACACAUUUGUUAUUCCAAUGCGCAAGUUUUAGAGUACAUUUUGACGAACAAUAGUUGUGGAGAUUCCUGCUUGUUUUGUUCACCUCUUUGGGGACAAUUAAUUGGCAGGAAGUCAAGAUAUGAUAACUGAUUAGGGAGAGUCUAGGGACAUCAUCUUAAUUUGCUAUGGUCGAUAUUAAAGUCCAUCUCACCAUAUCUCUAUCAUACAUCUCAGGACGAAAAAGCAACAUUUUACUAAACUGCAUGGCGAAAUUUUGAUCUAAACUAAGUUUUUUCUUGUGAAAUUGUGAUCUAAAUUAAGUGUUUUUCGUGUUCUUUUGUUACAUAAUCAAUCAGCGUGUUUGUUAUUAAUAGGUUGCUUUUCAAAUUUACAUAGUUGUUUAUUGUGAUAGAAUUGCACUUUCAAUUACAAAGUUGGUGUCAAGAAAACUAUCAUGUUUUUUCCCCCUUCAUUUGUAAGUACCGGGGCCUGCAUUUGCUGCCACAAAUUAUGGCUAGAGAGGCAAUAAAAAUGCAUGCCCAAGAUUCUGUAUGUUACUAAUUACUUUUUUGUGUUUGACUUAACACUCAUAAUAAUUGGAGAGAAAUUGGUACCUAUUUUUGGAAGAAAUUACCGUAAUUGUUUUCCAAUUCUCAUUCAAGACUUGAAUAAAUGCUUCACCAAUACGACUUCUAUUUCAACUAUAUGUUUAGAAGAUUUUUUUUUUUUUUUUUUGGGUCAGUUGGCAACAUCUACCCUAUCUUUACACUAAUCUGUUCAAGGAGAAGAUCCAACCUAUCCAAUAAGGGCUAGAAGGACAAAUUAAGUUCACAUCUCUUUUUUUACCACUGCAUCUUAUGUUUUGCCCUUUGACUAACACCUGGAGCUUGUUGGUUAGAAAAGUUUGCUUACUUGAUACGUAGAUAUGGAUUUGUGUCAUUUUAUUUUUGAUCAUUUUGAUACGUAGAAUUACUAACACACAUAAAAAUUACGACCAAGCAUUAACUCGAUCGAGAGCUUAUUCUUAAAAGCUUCGCUAAGCUCACUUCUAUUCUAUUACAUUCAUUGUUUUUUUCAAACGUAUAUGGUAUCCAAGUCAAGAUAGCUAUAUAUAGAGAUAAAUAUUUCAUAUAUAAAAAGAAUUUUCAUAUAUAAACUUAUUUUCGUGCUUUGAGAAGUGAACCAUCCACGUACAUCUUUGAAUAUAAUAAUAUGGAUGAUACGACAAAAUUGGAAAAAUUAAUACAAAUUAAAAGAAAAAAUGUCCCUUAAUUCUCAUGGAUGAUACGACAAAAUUGGAAAAUAAUAAUAUGGACUUAAAAGAGUAUCUAUUGCAAAAUCAUAGUAAUUGAACCUUCAAAAAAUUAAGUAAAGAGUUGCCUUAAUUUGUUAUUUACCUACUGCAUAAGUCCAUAGCUUGACAGAGCCAUCACUCUUCCAGAACAUCAAUUAAUGCCGUGCACUUUCUCAGAGCACAAAUUUGGAAGCUGGUGUGCUUUACCACCAAAGCUACGAAAGAACUCAUCAGGAACAUACUUUAUCUUUAUCUCAGCUUCCAACUUUUCUGCUGUGUUAGCCAUAGUUGUUUCUAGGUCUCAUGCUCACAAAUUAUGCUACUGAUCAGCAAGAACCUUGACCAAUAAUCCAAUGCAUUAUGCAAUUCAAUUUCUUUACCACCUGAUUCGUAGAUGCUUCACGAAUUCGUAAUAGCGCCCACAAUUUAGAAAUGUGCGGUUCUCCAUUGUCUUGGCUGAUCAAUGACAUAAAUCCACAUGUUGCAAUAUCUUUUCAGGCAAAUGAUAUGCUAGCUGCAGGGUUUAGCCAAUAUGCAUGUCACACUUGAUUAGUAGUUAGAUCGGCAAAUGAUGCACUCCUAUCUCCAAAAGAGAAUUGCAAUGUGACAUAAUGAUGCGGGAUUUGCCUUAGUUUAAUUGAGUUGAAAGAUGGUACAACAAAAAUUUAGAUAUGAUGCAACUAAAUUAAAAUAUAAUGUAAUAAAAUUGAAAUGAUCCUUUUACCCCCGAAAUGAAAUGAAAUGGAACUUUUGAUUGCCCAGAUCCUUAACGAUUCAAAUUAAGAGGGAAUGGCACAAAACACUAGCGUAACUUAGAGGACAGUUUUGACUUUGCAUAGGUAAUGUUUUUUUUUUUUUUUUGUGGUGGUAACCUUCUGGUAAAUCUAUGCUAUGAUCAAAACCCAUAAUGGGCAGAUAUACAAACUGAGUAUCAUUAAGAAGAAGUGAGUUUAACUUUUGAUAUGCAACUCAAAAAAUAUAUAGUUAAGAAAUUGUUGUUGCUUUACACUUGUUAUUUAAAUUGUGUACACUUGUUACGUACGUUUGUACAUUUAUUGCUCCCAUAUAUGCAUUAUAGAGUACAGUUAUAACUAACGGUGUGGAGAUACUUCACCUAUGGAGUAGUGUCUUUCUGAUGGUUUAGUUAUAAUAACUGAAGUAGGGACAAAAUCAUAAUUUGCCAUAGCCCCCAAAUUUCCACAAUAAAUCGCAGGAGAUAAUUAAAGCAAAAUUUUUAUUAAAUUACAUGAUGAAAUUGUGAGCUAAAUAGAGCAAUUGCUCAUGUUCCUUUGUGUACGUAACCAAUUGACGUGUUUGGUAUCAAAAGAUUGCUUAUACAAUUUAGAGAUCCUAAGAAACAAAAAACAAAAAACAAAAAAAAGAGGUGUUUAAAGAGAGAAAACUUAGAGAGAUCCUUGAAAUUUGAAGGUUCAUUAGGGGUCAACCAGUGAGCCCAAAAAAAAAAAAAAACUAAGACAGAUAAAAAGCCACACGAAACCUUCGUUUUAUUUAUUUUUUUUAUCAGCAAACGUACAACGGUUAACACUCAUAUGAAGUACAACCAAGCCUUGACAGGAUAGCUCCAUUUUAGAGGCUUUUUUUUUUUUUUGAAGGACAUUUUAGAGGCUUCACUAACCCCAGACAAUGGGGUAUAUUUAGAGAUUCUCUUACAUUAACUUAUAUUGUAUAACAUUCUUUGUUUCUUUUUCUUUUCUUUUUUUCCCCGGUAACCCGAGCCAAGAUGGCAAUCAUAUGGUAUCUAUAGAUAUAUUUAUUUUCGUGCUUUGAGAAGUGAAGCAUCCACAUCUUUUGCAGCAUGAAUUAGCCAGUGAAGGUACUUAGUUGGAGCAGGAUCAUUCUCCUUGACGGUCUCAUACUCAAUGCUCCAGUGGGCAAAGUUUGAGACACCUUUUGAAAUAACCUGCAACUCAACCUUAUAGCUCUUGUAUUGUUCCUUAAUGUCUCCUUCAAUUGCUUCCAGAGUUACUAUCCUGUUCUCCUCGUCCACUUUAAAUCUCUCUUUCGCAGUUUCAACUUUCCCAUCUGUGUGAAUUUUCACCAAAGUAGAAAUUAAACAAAUAAUCCAGCAAAGUCAAAAGCACUUUUUGGAUCUUCUCCGGUACUAAAAUUAUUUGUCGAUCACUAAAGACAAACAAAGUAAUACGCCCGAACGAUGCAUAUGCAUUAAUGAUUUUCCUAGAAAAUGAUUUAUACAAAUUAAAAAAAAUGUCCCUUCGCAAGGAUGACACCCUAAAAUCGAGCAAUAAUAUUAUAUAUACAUAUACAUACAUACAUACAUACAUACAUAUAUGUGUGUGUGUGUGUGUUACAAAAUCAUAACAAUUGAAACUUCAAGAUCGAGUACAGGGUUGGCCUUUGUUGCUUACCAAUUACAUAAGUCCAAUGCUUGACAGAGCCCUCAGUCUUCCAAUCACCUUCAUGAAGAUCAAUAGCAUGCAAUUUCUCAGAGCAAAGAUUUGGAAGCUGGUGUGCUUUACCACCAAAGCUAUGGAAGAAUUCAUCAGGAUCAGACUUGAUAUUUAUCUCAGCCUCCAACUUUUCUGCUGUGUCAGCCAUAGUUGUUUCCAGCCCUAGGUAGUCUCAAAACCACCGACAUUUAUAUAUAGGACCUUGAUCUAGUAGAAUGGAAAUGCUAAUGUAUAUGGACCUUAACCAGUGGACCAACAUUCAUAUAGGAUCAGUUCCCAUACAUUUGUGAUAGCUGGGCUAAUUAAUACCUUCAAUCCCUGUCAAUUAUGUUUAAAAUUUAUGUAGUUAUACCAUCAUACCCCGUAUUUUCAAUUUUAGAUGCUUAAAUUUGAAUGCGCUUACCGCGCUUAAAUUUGUCUUGCUAUAUUCUUCUUUUUGAUGGUCAAGAGAAAAUUUUAUGUCAUCGGUAACAACUUUAAAUAAGAUUAGAUUAAUUAUCUUUGAUAUAAUAAUAAUAGGAGGUAGCCCUCAUAGGGGUGGUCCAGCGGUAAGCGGGCUUUUAAGGAUUCUUGAGCUCCUGGAUUCUAAUCUUACCCUGGACUUAAACCCCUGUGACUCGCCCGGGAUCGCUGCGUGGGGUGGUGGCGCACUCCUCUGGUUUGAUGUGCCGGCUCGAAUCCUAAGGGUUCGAGUCGGGUAUGUUCUGGGUUACAAAAAAAAAAUAAAAAUAAAAAAUAAUAGGAGGUAAAGUGUCAUAUAGUAAUUGAAGAAAAUUCAUUGCACCGUACACUUCUUUAUAGACCAAAUUCUAUCUUUGCACCUGUCUUCACAUAUUUGCAGAAUGAAAGCACUCAAAAAACAAAAAAAAAAAAAAAGAGAAAAGAAAAUGUGAUCUAUUGGCUUAAUUAUUUGAUCACACCAAUUUUUUUUUUCAGCAAAUAGGCCCCAUUCCAUUAAUCAAUCUUUAGUCACAGCUCACAAGUCUCCUUUUAAAGACCAACCAUGAGAUAAAAUCAAACCUUGGUACAAUUUUCUCACUCCAUACUAAUUAUGCCACACAACCUCAUGACCCUUUGCUCCAAAAGUUCAUCAAUCACAGUUUUAACAACAAAGGAAGCAGUAGGUACCCGCUGGCCACUUCACCUCAUCCAUCAUAAAGCUUUGGUCAAGAAAAAAGCUGGAGUAACAUCAAUCAAGCUGUUUACCUCAUCGGACCUCCUUCUUCAUCAAUGCCAAACCAUCCACCAUCUGAAUGAGGCCUUAAUCUGCUGAUAAUCAUGAGCUCCCAAUUCUAGGAAUAUCUAUUUGUCCAGUUCUUCGCAAUUUUGCUAAUUAAAAGGUUUAGCAAAAUUUCUUAGGUACCUCCUGCGCCAAAAAGCAACUGUAAAGGUUAACAACAAGUGUUUAAACUUCUUAACUUAAGUCGGCAUUUAUAAAGGUUAAUUAACUGGUUUACAUACUUAGAUCAUUUUAUCAAUUCGGUUCUAUAAAAUGUUUUGAAUGGAAACAAUAAUAAUAUCGUUUCCAUGAUUAAAGAAUGGGAAUAAAUUUUGCAUGAUUCAGAAAACAAAUUUUGUUCUGCAGGAUUGGUACCAUGUACUACUAUUUCUCUGUAGUUGUUAGCCGACAUUCUAAGUAAGUACGAAUUUCUCGAACCUUUUUAUGUUAUGGGAAAAAAAAAAAAAAGAGUAGGAAGUGCAACCAAACACCCACACAAAUUUGAUCGGAAAUAGUCCAAAACCAAAGUCCAUAGGACUGAAUAGAUGCAAUGAGUUGGAAAAUGAUAAAUCAGUAACCUAAAGUAACAAACCCCGCUUUAGGUGUUGUACCCAAGCUCCAUGAAUGAUUUACAUGGCAUGCCAAAGUACAAAAAAGGCCCUUUAGGAAACGGACGGAAAACUUCCCAAGGGUGAAAUCAAAGUCCUUUUUGUUAUAUAUGUAAGAUUAAGGAUAUAUCUUUUAUAUAUAAUAUAUUCACUUUCAUCAUUAAAUAUGUUACACAUAAUUUAAAUUUGAAUUUAAGAUUCAAAUUUGUAUAUGUAUUAUACAUCAAAUUAUGAUAGUGUAUGCACUAUUAAUGUACGUAAAAUUCCAGUUAUUAUCUAAUCUUCUUGAUAGUAAAAUUUAACUUUUUCCAGUAUAUAUGAACGUCCAACGUAGGUUAAGUUUAUCAACAACAGACUACUCUUGCAAUCUUCUAUUUCUCUAAAAUUUUAAAAAAAAAAUGAGAGUUGUACGGUGGGAUAAUUUUCCACCACCAUUGUAAAAACUACUAAAAGUGACAUGCAUCAAUGAAAGUUUUCUUUCCUCAAAAAAAAAAAGGACCCUUGCUAAAAUAACACACAAUUAAAAUCACGGAUAACUUUUUAAUAUACAAUCAGCGUAUAAUUUUUUUUACAGUAACAAGUUUAAAUUAUUGCCACAUAACAUGAAUUCAAAUUUGAAAUUUAAAUUAUACACAUGUGGUAUUCAUUCGAAACUGUUACUAUAAAAAAAUCAAUACACUAUUAGAACAUAAAAGUUAAUCCUUAAAAUCAGUGCUGUUGAUCUUAGUCCUUUUUGUGUGAUCUGGGAAGGUAUGCAUCCACGUCUCUAGAGAAACUUAUCAAAAAAUCAAGAUGAGAAUGCGGGGGUUGGGACAUCAUCAUCUGCUUUCUCGCGCUCUAGAGUCCAUUUCACAAUGUUUCUAUCAUCUUGGGGAUUUGCGUCAAGUGUUGCUUUGAAACUCUUGAAUUGAUUGUGACUUCACCUCUAUAAGCUCGAUUAUGAUCGUUUUGUUUUCCAUGUCAGUAGCAUCAAUCUUGUCUUUUGCAAUCACAGGACCGCCUGUUUUAGCAAAAGAUAGGUCUAAUUUUAAUUGGAAAAAAAUGUAGAUAUCAAAAUGGUGGAAUUAAAACAAACAUACAUAAGCUUGAAUCAGUCCACAAAAUAAAAAUAAGUGAAUAAAGAGUUUAAUUUGUUAAGGGAAAUUAUUACAAGAUAAUAAAACUGUGUUCAUCCUAGAGUCAAUUAUUCAUCCUCAUAUUUUUCAGUGAACUGUUAUCAUCAAAUUUUUAGGGGCAUCUCCUCUUACGACGAAAAUAGAUGAAAAGACCCCCAUUUUUUUUUUUUUUUAAGUCAAGGGCUUGAGUCAUUUCACGAGAAGAGAUAAUGUUUUUCAUUGUCUCUUCUGAAAUGACUUGGAAUUUUCAUUGUCUAACUAAGAAUUUAGUGAGUUACUUAAUAAGUAAAAGUCCAGGACAUUAAUUUCAGGUACAAAUAGUUGCUCCCAAAACUUUUCUCAAAUUUGAACACAGUAUUCCCAAAUGCUAUCACAUGUAUCCUUUUUUUUUUUUUUUCAGUUUUUUCCCUAAAGAUAAGUUACUCAGUAAUUACUUUCUUCACCCAAGACAUUAGAAGUGUUUGCUUGGCAGUUGCCAGUAUUGGAAGAAAUACCACAGUUGUUGUAUAAUACCAGUAGUCAUUUUCUGGCCAUAUGAAUACACAUGAUGUUUUAACUUCUGCCAAUGUACAGAACACCUUCAAUAGCUGAACUAACAAUUGUAUGGUUGAAAUCCUAACGCUUGUCUAAACAGACAAGACAUUAAAUUGUUCUUAAUUGCGGUGGUUGUUGUAUUGCAUCUAUCAAAAACUGUGGUAUAUUAAAGCACACUUGGAGAAAUUGUAUCCAGAAAUUUGUAUAUCAAAAAAUCCAAGCACUUGGAGAAUAUGAGGAACUGAUCAAUCGCUUUAUGUCAUUUUUAGCCUCUUUGUUAAUGUUCUCAGUUUUUGUUUCUAAAUUUAUGAAAUGCAAUUGUAAUUGGAGGAAGGUUUUUUACCCCCCAGAAAGUUUCCUUCUUCUUACAAAAUUAGAGUGGCCACUCGAAUUUUUUUAAAAAAAAAAGAUAUUUAGAAAGAGUGAUUAUCCUAUAAAAAAAAUAUUUGAAUAUCGCAAUAAACACAUAUUUCAUACAACCAGUCUAGAUCAACUGAGCGAAAAAUAAAAUUAAAAAAAAAAAGGCAAUACUAUGGCAAGGCAAGGUGAUUUAGUUAAUAAUAAUAGUACUUACCCAUGACACAACUCCAAAAUCUGAUAGAGCCAACACUGUUUCCAUCACCUUCGGUCCUUCGAGCACUUGAAUGCUUUGCAGUUUGUCAGGACUAAUCUUGGGCACGCGGCUGGUUUUGUUCUGGCAAACAUCAAAUACCCUCUCGGGAGAAGAUUUUAUUUCUGUCUGGAGCUCAAGCUUACGAAGUUGAGCCAUUGUUGUACUACUAUUUUCUUGACUUUUUUGGGCUAUGUAAAAAGGAAUAACUUUGCUAACUUGAUAUCAAGACGUCUAGAAUGUGGCCUAUUAGUAAUGUCAAAAGAAGAUUGCCUGCUUUAUUAGAUGAAUCAUUCCAUACUGGUUUUGGGUUCCAAAAGAAGCUAUAAAGUACAAAAUAAUUUCAGAUUCAAAAAACGCACCUUAGCUUAUAAUAAUGGUACCGCAUGCGGUACAACAGAAUCCCUAAUAAUCGAAUGACAUUAAUAACACUAAACUCAUUUAUAUUUUCAUAUUUACCGGUCAAUAAUCAAAUGGUUAACCUGGUUCUUGAUGUAGAAAUAUCUAGAGAUGGCAAAAGAUCAGGUUUGGGGUGGGAGAUGACCCUUUUUACAAAAAUUCUCCUCGCUCUCUGCCCCAUCCCCCGCACGCCCUGCCCUAUCCCACUAUUAAUUUUAUUUUGAUAAAUUACCUUUUAUCUCGAUAUGAUUUGGUGUUUUAUCACGUAGCUCUUUUAUGAUUUAGAAAUCUAUAUAUAACUCUCUCAUGAUAUACGUUAAAGUGCCAUCAUUAAACUAAUAAAUUGACAAAUUCACCAUUUCGUCACUUUUUUUUUCUUUUUUCUUUUUUCCUUCUCUCUCUCUCUCUCUCUCUCUCUCUCUCUCUCUCUCUCUCUCGUCAAGAGACGAGAUGAUUUUGAAAACUUAUAUUUUGGCCUACAAAAUCUUAAUUUUCUUCAAAUACAAAAGAGAUAGAAGAGAAAUAAAAAGUAAAUAAAUAAAUAAACAAAAAAAGAUGGAAGGAAAAUAUAAAACAAAUAAAUAAGAAACAAAAAAUAUCAAAUGCUUUUUUUACUACAAAUAUCAUUAUAGGUUUUUAAACGAAAUCUUAAUGGUAUUUACUAGUUCUUAUUUAUUUAUUUUUUAUUUCAGUUUCUGCUUUUUUAUGUUUGGAGGAAAAAAGAAGUAAUGAAAGUGUAAUUUUAUCAAUCUAUUAAUUUGACUUUGACUUUGACUUUUUAUUAUUGAUCAUUAGUUUUAAUAGAAAUAUUAAUGAUGAUACUUUAACUCAAUCCACGAAGGAGUUACAUAUAGAUUUUUAAACCAUAUGAAAGUUAUAUGAUAAGAGUAAAAGUUUUCUCUUCUGUAUUGGGAAUAUUGAGGGUUCAAUCAACAAACAAGUUCGGUAAAGUUCUCUCUUUAUUGUAAGCAGUUCCACCAUUUUGAAAAUAUUAUCUUCUGUCCUAAUCAAAAUUUAAUUUUUGCGUAAACAAACAAUAAGAAAGAAUUCUUCAAACCUUAUUUUUUGGUUACCAAAAUGUUGAGUGGGAGCACCAUUUGACUUUUAUCUCGUUUUGAAAAACCUGCUUAGCAAUUGACUCAUCUCUUGUUAGUUUUAUUUGUUAAUUACCAAGAAAUUAAGGCAGAUCUAUAAAAAUCCUUGAUACAACGACACGGGUACCAACAUGUCGGCUGCCUUUUUUCUUUCUUAAGUGAGAGGUCUUAAAUUCAAAGUUUCUUAUUUAUACCUCCCAUUUAGAAUCUCUCUACAGUAUAAGAUAUUGUGAUGAUUUUGACAAGUUGGUAAACUGUGUAUAUUUGUCAUGCAAGUGAGCAUAUUUAUUUUUCCCAUAUAUAUGUGUUGUAGAUAAAUCGAACCGCUCGCGAGCGGCUCGAGUCGAAUUCAAGCUGGUCGAGUCGAAUUCGAACUCGAACUCAAGUUUAAAAUAUUGAGCUCGUUAGUUCUCGAGAUUGAGUAGAUAUAUAUUUUUCGAGCUAUUAUAUAUAUAUAUAUAUAUAUAUAUAUAUAUAUUUUAAAAUAUUGAGCUCGUAUAGUAAUAUUUUUUAUUUUUUAUUUUUCGAGCUAUUCAAGCCGAGCUCAAGUUUCAAAAUUAUCAACUUAUCGAUCUCGAACUCGAGUUAGAGUUCGAUAAAACUAAGUCAAUGCUCGAUUCGAUUUGAUCAAAUCUUAAUUCAUUUUGAUUCGUUUGCAGCCCUAGUUGUAAACUACAAUAUAACUAACGUUGUGGAGAUAAUUCACCCCAGUAUUGUCUUUCUCCUCGCUUAGUUCGCCUCUCUGGCGACAUUUAGCAGGAAGUCAAGACAGGAUAACUCGAGCAGAGUAGAGCAGGGACAAUUGAUCUGAACAGUGUAAUAUUUUUUGAACGUUUUAUAAUUCUAUAUAAACUUCUUAUACAUCCUUACAAUAGAGGUGUGAUAUUUUGUUACUAUUUAUGUGAGUCUCAUAUGUAAUAAUUGUGUGUUUGGUGUUAAAUUUUAUAACUAGUUCAUGUAGAAUUACGCCUUAUUCAAAAAUAUUAUUUCAUUCAGAACGAUUGUUAUUAACAACCAUCGGGGCCAUUAGUCCGCCGACCAAGAAGGUAUGACAACUGAGCAGGGACACAAUCAUAAUUUGCCAUGGCCCCUACCAAAGUCCAUCUCACCAAAUUUUUUUUUUUUUUCCUCACCAAAUUUCUACGAUAAAUCUCAGGAGAUAAAGCAAAUUUUUAUCAUAUUACUUGACGAAAUUGUGAGCUAACUAAAGUUUUGCUCAUGUUCCUUUCUGUACAUGAUCAAUUAACGUGUUUGUUAUCAAAAGAUUGCUCAUACAAUUUACAGAUCCUAAAAAGCACGAGGCGUUUAAAUAGAGAAAACUAAUGACAUCCCUGAACUUUGAAGGUUCAAUAUGGCGAACCAGUGCAGUGAGCAUUUAUAUCUUCAUCAAGCCAAAAAAACACUAAUAGAUAUAAAGCCACACAAAACAUUCAUUUUAGAUUUUAUCAUUACACGUAGAAUUGAUAUAAAUUACAACGAUGCACUGGCAGGAGAGCUUAUUUUUAGAGGCUUCACUAAGCCCAGACAAUGGAAUACCUUUAGUGAUUAUCAUAUAUUGUAUUACAUAUCUUUUUUUUCCCCUAGUAUUAACAUGUAUAUGGACCUUAACCAUCGACCGACAUUCAUAUAGGAUCAGUUCCAAUUUUCUGUGCAUUUGUGAUAGUUGGACUAAUAUCUUCAAUCUUUGUCAAUUAUGUUUUAAAUUUAUGCAGCUGUACCAUCAUACCCCAAAUUUUCAACAUUGAUUAGACUUAAAUUUGAUUAGGUUUAUUGCGCUUGAAUUCGUCUUGCUAUCCUUUGCUUUAGUCAAGAGAAAAUUGUGUGUCAUAAGUACCAGCUUUUAACUAAUUUCAAGAGUUGGGUAGUUAACUAAUCUAUGAGGUUAGGAGCUGGGUAGUUAAAUUCUCAAAUUUAUCUCAAGAGUUGUCGUCUUUUGAGAUUAAAUUUGAGAUUAAAUUUAACUAAUCAAUUUCAAAAAUCUGAAAAAAAAAAAAAAAGUACCAGCUUUUAAUGAGAUGUGGUCAAUUAUCUUUGAUGUAAAUAUAGGAGACAACUAGUCACAGAUUCAAAUUAAGGGGCAGAUAAAGUGUCACAGCAAUCGAAGAAAACUCAUUGUACCAUAUACUUUUUAAUAGACCAGAGAUUCUAUCCUUCCACCUGUCUCCAUUUAUUUGCAAAAUGAAAGUAUUAAUGAUUUGAUGUCACCUAUUUUCAGCAAUUAGAUCCCAUUUCAUCAAUCAAUCUUUCAGUCACAAGUCUCCUUUUUCAGACCAACCAUGACAUAGGAGCAAACCUUGGUACGAUUUUCCAAUUCCAAACUGAUUAUGCCACACAACCUCAUGGCCAUCUGCUUGAAGUUCAUCGAAUACAAUAAUUUUAUCCACAAAAGAAAGCAGUAGGUGCCCAGUUCAUCUCAUCCUUGAUGUAAAGUUUUGGUCAAGAAAAUUGCUGGAGUAACAUCAAUCAGCCUCUGAAAAUAACCACAUCACACCUUCUUCUUCAUCAAGGCCAAUCCAUCCACCAUCUGAAAAUAAAUAUUUGUCCAAUUCUUCGCAAUAUUGCCAAUUAAAAGGUUUACCAAAAUUUCUUGGCUACAAUGUUUUUCUCCAGCACCAAAAAGCAUCUGUAACUCCCAAAUUGAGUUCUUUGUUUUUUUAAUCUAUGAAGUAUCCCUUUUUCUGAUAAAUAGACAAGAAGUUAAAUCAUGGCAACAUUUAUAAAGGUUAACUGGUUUACGUGCUUAGAUAUUUUUAUCAAUUCGGUCCUAUAAAAUGUUUUGAAUGGAAAUAAUAAUAUCGUUUCCUUGUUUAAAGAAUGGGAAUAAAUUUUUUCAUGAAUCUGAAAACAAAGUUAGUUCUACAAGAUUGGCACUAUGUGCUGCUAUUUCUCACUAGUUGUUUACUAGACGUUCUAAGUAAGUACAAAUUUCUCGGUCCUUUUUUGAUGUUAAAAAUGGAGAAAGGAAAAAAAAAAAGCAGUAGGAAGUGCUUUGUCUGUUGUUACUAAGGAUAUAAUUAGUAUCUAAUCCUCUUGAUAAUAGAACGUUACUUUUUCGAGUACUAUUUCUAUAAAAUUAAAAAAAAAAAAACAUAUGUUUACUUGAACCAAAUUGGCGAGCUACAUCGCUUAGUUUGCCCAUACAAACAACUGAAGUAUCAUAAAUUACGCUUGCGGGAAACCCAAAGGAGUUAUUCGUAUAGUAGAAAAUUUAUACAAUGAAAUUUUAUUGAAAAAUGAAGAAAAAACUCCUUCAUUUUUAUCCCAUGAACAACUUUGUCAUUCCAAACCCUUGGAGUGAACCAAAAUAUGUUCAGUCUAACAUAAGAAGGACUGAAAAGUUUAAGCAACAAAUUUUCUACUGAAAUGUGUAAAAUGAUAUCAAUUAAUUAAGCAAUGCAUCACUCAUGAUUUGAGCUUAAAAGCAUUUGAAUCCCGGGGAUUUAUUAGUUGAGUUUACCAACAAAAAGCGAUUAAAAAAAUUAUGACAUGCCCACGCGAUAGAUAUAUAAAUAUGUAAAUUCCCAAAAUCAAAGAGGUGGAUCAUCAUUUAUUUUGUUUCUGUCGUAUAAGUCAUAUAAUGGCUUAAAGUCGGAUUUUCCCUAUUAGUUUUUCAAACUUACCCCAUCUUUGUUAAUUUUUUUUAUCGUAUAUCAAGUACCUCCACCAAUUUGCACAGACGAAACCAAACCAAAGAAAAAUAAAGACUUUCAUAAUUACAAGCCCAAACCAACAAAACCAUACUUCACAACAACACUGCAAGCAAGAAUGAAACACAUGGACGAAGAGGCAUGCUGUUAAGCAGUUAUCGAAAUAUACACAAAAUCAAAAUCACUGCCGAUGAUCUCAAUUAAUUUUUCUGUGCUUUGAGAAGGUAAGCAUCCACGUCUCUAGAGCAACUUAUCAGAAAAUCAAGAUGGGAAUGUGGGGUUGGGAUAUCUUCUCUUGCUUUCUCGUACUCUAGAGUCCAUUUCACCAUGUUUACAUCGCCUUGGGCAAUUGCCUGGAGAGUGGCUUUGAAGCUCUUGAAAUAGCUUGUAACUUCACCUCCUAUAAGCUCAAAUGUGAUGGUUUUGUUUUCCAUGUCAAUAGCAUCAAUCUUAUCUUUUGCAACCACAGGUGUCUCUGUUUUACCAAAACAUAGGUCUAACUUUAAUUGAAAAUAAAAGUAAAUAUCAAAAUGGUGGAAUUAAAACAAGCAACCAUAAGCCGGAAUUCGACCACAAAAUUUUUAUAAAAAAAAUGAAUAAACCGGUUAAUUUGUUAAGGGCAAAUAGUAAUUUACAAGGCUAUAAAACUAUGUUCAUCCUAGAGUCUGGCCAUUAAUCAUUUGGAGUCCAAGAUAGUCCAGCAUAACUCGAUAUAUUUCUCAGUAAACCGUCAUUACUUAAUUAGUUUUAUGGGUAUCGUUUCGUUACCACGAAAACUGAUGAAAUGAUUUUUUGUUUUUUCUCUUUUCUUAAAAUGCCAUUGACUGGAGUCAUUUCUGAAGAGACAAUAUAAUGAUAGUAACUUUUAAGUCAUCAAAGUUUCCUUUGCUGUAAAAUUGUUUGCCUACAAAUUUUUCUCAAAACAAAAACAGAGUCUUCAUAAAUGCUGUCAUACAUUUGUCUGCUUUUUCUACUACUGAGUAAUUACUUUCUUCACCCAAGACAGUAGAACUAUUUGCUUGCCAGUAUUGGAAGAAAUACCACAGUUGUUGUACAAUACCAGUUGUCAUUUUCUGGCCAUAUGAAUACACACGAUGUUUUAACUUCUGCCAAUGUACAAAACACCUCCAAACAAUUGUCUGGUUGAAAUCCUACCGCUUGUCUAAACAGACAAGACAUUAAAUUGUUCUUAAUCGCGGUGGUUGUUGUAUUGCAUCUAUCAAAACCUGUGGUAUAUUAAAGCACACUGCCCAGGACAAGUUUUUGAUUAAUUUUAUCCAGAAAUUUGUACAUCAAAAAAUCCAAGCACUUGGACAAUAUGAGGAGCUGAUCAAUCAUAUAUUGGUUUUUUUUUUAACCAAAAAAAAAAAAGGCAAUACUAUUGUAAUAUAGUACUUACCCAUGAAAUAGGUCCAAAGUCUGAUAGAGCCAACACUCUUGCCAUCCCCCUCGAGCACUUGAAUGCUUUGCAGUUUGUCAGGACUAAUCUUGGGCAUGAGGCUGGUUUUGUUCUUGUAAACAUCAAAUACCCUAUCAGGAGAUGAUUUCAUCUCUGUUUGGAGCUCAAGCUUACAAAGUUGAGCCAUAGUUCUACUACUAUUUUCUUGACUUUUUUGGGCUACGGAAAAGGGAAAUAAUUUUGCUAACUUGAUAUCAAGACGUCUAGAACGUGGCCUAUUUAUAACGUCAAAAGAAGAGUGUGUGUUUUAUCAGAUUCUCGUGCAUUUGCAUAGCUUUGGCUCAGGCAAUGAUUUAGAUGAAUCAUUCCUUGCUGCUUUUGGGUUCCGGAAGAAGCCACAAGGUACAGACUAAUUUCUGAUUUUAAAAAACGCACCAUGGCUUAUCAUAAUGGUACCGCAUUUGGUACAACAGAAUCCCUAGUAAUCGAAUGACAUUAGCAACACUAAACUCAUUUAUAUUUUCAUAUUUACCAGUCACCAAUCAAAUGGUUAACCUGUUCUUGAUUCUGAAAUAUCUAGAGAUGGUAAGUAGUCGGAUCUGGGGUAGGAGAGACCCUGUUCUACCAAAAAAAAAUAUAUAUUCUCCUCAUCCCCGCUAUUAUUUUUAUUUUUUAUUUGAACUUAUUUUUCAAUAUAUAUAACACUAAUAAUAAUUUUACUAAUAAUUUCUUUUUUGAAAUUUUAGCCAAAAAAAUUGAAGGUAAAGUAAAGUUUAAAUAUCACUUUGAUCUUUUUAAUUUAUUUCUUCAUAUUUGAUACAAUAUAGAAUUUAAACUAAUUGCUACUAUUUCUUUUAAUAAACCUGCAAUAUGUGGAAAAAAAAAAGAAAAAUAAACUAAGAUAAUAAAAUGAUCAUUUUACGACAAUAAAUUGAUAAUAAAAAUUGCAUCAUUUUAUCACAAAAAAAAAAUAUCAUGUCCAUCAUAUAUCAUAUUAUAUAUUAUAUAUGAUAAUAUCAUAGUAUUUAUUUCAUAUUAUACAUAUAUAAAUAUAUUACACAAUUAUCAAAUCAUAAGUGGGGGCUAAAGCAGGAGUAUCCUCUCGCAACCUGUAAUUAAAGUAGGGGGAGAAAAUUCUCCCGACCUCGCCCCCUUCCCUACCCAGCUGCUUCCAGCAGAGCGAUGCCUCCGUUGCCAUCCCUACAACUAUCUUUCCACAGAACAAAAUUGAGGAUCUUUUCUGCUCAUUCUUUUCUGCCCUUCUACUCCGUCAUUUAGUACCAAUGGACAACGAAAAUUAUGGUAACUGAAAACAUAACCAAUACGUCAAGGUACCUAAUGUUUUCUCCCAACAGUAUGGCCAGAAGGGAAUUGGAUUAGAAGCUAGUUGGCCAUUAAUGGAGCACAAUUCUAGAUAUCUUUCCGGAUGAUGAAAACGACAAAACGCAUUUUCCUACAGGUAAAAAAAAAAAAAAUUGAUGGAAUCAAGUUUAAAGGAGCUGCAAUGAAUAUAACCUGGCACAUGGGAAUAUUUGAGGGUUUCAAUCAACAAACAAGUUCCAUAAAGUUUUCUUUUUAUACUGCAAAAGCUAUUCCAUAAUUGUGUAACUUUAGUAAGUUUGAACAAUUGGGGGUUAACCAACUCCCUCUGGAAGGAGUUGACCACCACAUUAAUUGUGUGGCGGGAGAUCAAGGAUUCAAACCCAUAUGAUCUUAUAGUAAUUUAUUCCCUGUCAGGUUCCCUCGACUUAGUUGAAUCACUCCUUUAGAAUAAGCUCCCCCAAUAGGAGUAGAACUAAGCUAGGUUAGACUUAGUUAUGCAUACUCACUAUUCAUUUCUUGGUCUGCUUGAUAAAAUAACUUCAAUUGCAAGAAUCAUUUUCAGAACUGAUCCUCCAGGCAAGUGGAAAAUUGUGGUGGCGUCUCUUCAUAAACCGGCUGAUCACUUCAACGCUUUUUGGAGACGUAUCAAAACACUUGAACUCUACUUCAUUUUGAACUUUAAAUACAUGCUUUACAACUUUGAAGGACCAAACUUAAAAUGAAAUACAGGUUGUGUUUUGUACAGUACUGAAAAAAGAAGCACAACCCAUUCCCUCCCACAUUGGAUGCCUCCAGUUAUCAACAAAAUAAGAGUAAAUACCAAUUUAACAAAAAUAGUGUGGACCCACUGUAAAGGUAAGGAGACUGGGUGAAGGUUAGCACAAAUUGGGGUUGUGGUUUGGCGGCGUUUAGGUUCAACAAAACAUCAGCGCAGUGGCGAACUACAGAUGACAUGAAGCUCAAAACCAAACUGUUCAAUUCAAUGGCAAGUAUGCCAUUUCAUUGCAUGGCCAUCAUCUACAUAAAGAGGAACAUCAGUUGAUCAGAUCUAAAAUAUAAAUAUUCCAAUUUGUUGAUGCCUGUAUUUGUCUAUUUAUGUCACAUAAUUAGUUGAAUGGUCAUAUCUCCAUCUAGUGCGGCCAUACUAAAACUCUCUCUUGCGCAUGCGGCAACAAAACUGUUGUGUAUCCUGGGUCAGGUGUGAAAAUACAAGCUCAAGCUACAAGUCUCACUUCUUUAAUAAGGUACGUGAAUCAUUUCUAGAAUUGACAAGAACUGAAGGGGUAGACAACAUGUUUUCCUUAUCUGGUGGAUCGCCGCCUUUCUCGAUGCUUCUUUCAUCUUUUUGCGAUGUAGUGGAAGACGAUGCUCCUUGUAUCUGUACUGUUAAGCUUCCACCUAAAAUUGAACGGUAUAGAUAUGGUAAGCAUCUUCGCAACAAGUGUUUUGGAGCAUGUGGGGUUAGGGGAGAGCAAAAGCACAGGCAAACUCAAGUUUCUGCGGGGCAAAAAAGAUGUUACUCUGAUGCUCACAAACUGUAAGUGCUAUAGUCAUUUUAAGAACCAGUUGAUUUUCUUAGUCAAUUAACCUGUCCAUUUAAGUAGUUAAAAUGAAAUAGAUGGCACAGACAAUAGCCAGAAAGGAGAUGAGGAAUAGACACACCAGGUACGGAAAGCAAAUCUGAAGAGGAUCAACUUGCCAAAAGCAUCAGUUUUAAAGUUACCAUUGCGAAAUAAUCAGUCACCAGUAAUUUAUUCUGGCAUGUAUUGCUACAAAUGGACAAUCACACUACAAUAUAGGCCACGUCAGAAAUAAUAAUUGUGAAGAUUAGCAAAACAAAAAGCGAUUCACUUGGAAAACUCCAAGGGGUCAACAAAAUGUCCCUGAAGCACUAUAGCAUCACAGAUACCUUGAUGGCAAGACAGCCUGAGUUGUAACAUUGUUAAAAACUUGUCCUUCUUUCAUCAAGUAGUUAUUUUGCUAGAAGUCAAUUAAUUGAGUCAAUUGACUACAUGUUUCUACCAUGCACGGUUGGAUUUUAGAAAUCAUAUAGCAGAUGGAAGAUGUCUUAUACCUAGAACAAGAGCAGCUCCAAUCCAUCCAUUGACACCCCAUCUCUCUCCAAGAAGAAACCAUGCAAAUGCAGCACCCCAGAGCGGCUCCAACCCAUAGAUUAUUGCAGUUUCUGUGGCUGAAACAUCUCGCAUGGCCGCAAUCUGUAUUAUAAUGCUAGGUGAUUAGAUCAAGACUAGCUAGCAAAACCUGCUUAAAGUAGAGAAGAACAAUGAUCUUUGUUUAAGAAUCACCAAUACCGAAUAAGCAUAUAUUGGUUGUCUUGGUUUCAACGAUUUAUUUAUUGAAAAAAAUAAAAAGCUAAAUUUUGCAACUAUAGUUCACAAUCAAGGUCUUUUCUUUAAAAUAAAAUUCAUCUAAAACACUUCAGACAGUCAAACCAAAUUCCAUACCUAUUAGUAUUAUCUAAUAUUGCAGCAGAAAUCAUGUAGUGAAUUAUUCUGAUUUCUACCAAUUAGAAAUUGUAACAAGAAUUGUGGUAUGGAAGUGGUAGAAGAAAAUCAAUAGUUUCUCAUCAUGGGAAGUAACAUCUUAUUAGACAGGUAGUUUGAAUCAUCUACUCUUGGACUGAGAUAGAGAGCACUUGUUUUGAUAGACGAGACAACAGAUAUGAUUGAUGCAGUAAGAAAGAGAAGGAAUUGGAUACCAUUACCAUCACAGACUGAAAAGACAAGACAUAACAAACCAAAACAUUCCAAGGCAAGAUGCUCAAGAACAACCAGUACCUGGCACGCCCUGGAAUAGCCCAAGCCUCUGAUUCUGCAUUCUCCAAUUCAGCUUUUAUUUAGGUAAACCUUGGUUUUGGUCUUAGUUUUCUUGUCAGUCAUUUCAGCAGUUAACUUUCCCUUCUCACAAAGUUAUCAUCUGAGGUAAACAUCUAGUUCCUAAAUUUUGAAAAUAUGUAGGAAACUCCUUUGUAUAUUUAUGUGACCAGAGUAACAUAAUAAAAUGCAGGAGCUAAAAAUAUUUCUAACUGCAAAAUAACAAGUAAUUUUUUCUGAUUAAAAAAAGGUUUAACAUAAUGCAUAUACUAAAAUACUUUUGGUUCUUUUAUGAAUACAAGGAAAAAUACCAUUGCCUCUUCUAUUCUUAUCAGAUUAGCAGUAAACCUUUAUUUCCAUCUAGCCUUCCUUUAAAUACUUAAGGAGAGAAUUUAUAUUUCAGUUUAACAGACAAACUUUAGACUACAACAAAUAGAUGAGUACGCGCAAUUCAAUUCAAUCAACAGAACAGGAUUGCAUAGAUGGAACCAUAUGGAAAGUUGCUCAAGAUAUGAGCACAAAGGCAUGCAAAAGAAGAACUUUCACAAGUAAACACUCAACGUAGAAAACCAAUACUUUAAGGUGGCCAUACCUCUACCCAUAGACAUAAUCCUGUGGAGACAACACCAGUAUAAAUUGCAGGUACCCAUGGGAAUGCUACCAUCCAAUCCGCAAAUUUUGCCCAUGUCCAGGAUGAUGGGUUUAAUGCUUGAGUGCCACCAGAACAAACUCCAAGGACAUACCAGAGUGUUGAUAAAAAAGCAACCACACAUACCUAAAGGAAAAAAUGUCCCAAUAAUUCAUGUAAACUGAAAAUACAAAGCCAACGGAUUGAGGUGGCACUGAGAGUAAUUCAAUUCCUUCUAAACUAACCUCAUAUCCGAGGAGAGGUAAGAGGUUCUCUUUGGUAGUAGCUCUAGAAAUAUGUUCUGUUCUUAGCAUGUGAACCCCAAAAAAUACGGCACUUAAGAAAUUCAACAAGUCCCCAACCUGAAAGGUCACACCAAACUGGUGAGUACUCUUGCAUGUCUGUCUUCUGUCGAAUGACAAAUAAUGGUUUCCAGUAAACAUAUUCACUUGAGAAGUCAAAGUUAACCUCUUCACACUUGCAUGUAAAAAUUUUGAGGAAGCAAAUAAACCAGGAAAUGUAGAAGACACUUACACAAGGAGGUGAGCCACUGGAUUCUAGCAUUCCAACUCCUACUAUAGACAUGAGGGCUCCAAACCAAGUACGUGCAGGGAUCUUCGAUCCUAGGAUACCAUCAAGCAAAGGAACCACAAUCACCUGAAGAAUUGUACCAAAAUUUUGGAAUGCUGGCUUAUAUAUCUAUCAGUGUCAAAAUAAAAUGGCAAAAAAUUUGUGAAUUGAAUGAGAUCCUUGCAUAUUUUCUUACAGUGAACAUUGUGAGGAAAGAUGCCCGUCCUGCACCCGAUGUCUGCAAUCCAAGGGCUUGCAUAAGGUAGCCAAGGCUGACCCAAAAUCCCAAUUCUAUCCCAGCAUUCCGGGUUUGAACAUCAUCUCUUGCUUUCAAAACAAAUGGCGAAAAUGCAAUUGCAGACAAAACAAAUCUGACAAUAGUGAAUGUGCCAGGAUCAAUAAAUGCUUCCACUUCUUUCACUAUAGGAAUAUUGCUAGCUGCACAAAAGAAAUGAUGAUAUUAGUUAAGCACAAUACCAAAGGCCACAAAAGAACUAUUUGCUACACAACAAAUUUUGGCCUCAUUUGUCAGCCUCAGAAAAACUAUGAAAAAGCAAGCAUCAUAGAUUCAUAAGGCUUGCAAAGAAUUAGAGAAUGCAUUUGCAUACUAUGAUCCCAGCCAUUCGCAAGCCAUUAAGAAAUGUUUCUAGAACAGUCAGAGCUCUUUCUCAUCACAUAGGAUUGAAGAGAAUCUCUACAGUGUAUUUAUCAUAUACAAGUGACGCGAAAUUCAGGAAAGUUUACAUAAAUGAAGACAUGUUUAUGUAAUUAGCUUUCUGUAACGCGAAAUGAUACAAUUGAAGAUCUCAAAGUAACAUGGUAAACAGUCGAAAUGAAAACUCAACUAGAAAAAAAAUUCUUUCUCAACCAAAGUUUGAUUCAACAUGUCCCGUGAUUUUCUGAAAUAUCUCGAUGUGACUCCUCUUGAUGCUCUCAAAUGUCAUCAUUAGCUCAAAAAUGAGCUCCACUUAAAGAUUUCCAUCCUACGUUAUAUACAUUCUCCCUUUAACAAGUUCAAAUAAGAAUCUAGAAUUACUUCAAGAAAAGCAUAAUAACGACUAGGAAUCUUGGCCUAUCACUCUGUGUAUGGAGAUCAGUCAUCCUUUCUACGACUACAUCCACCUCAUAGAUCAUCAAACUCAAAUCAAGAUUACAUUUUUCCUUUUUUCUUUUACUAGUAUUUUUCCUUGAACCGACACAACCUACCAAUUUCUCCUGACUCAUAAGCACAAUAUCAUAUUUUUGCAUCAUAGUAGUUAAUUCAUUACCUUAAAAAUUAGAGUAAACCUUUCCUAUGGAUAGUGUAUAUACUAUCAUCUUUGCAUUCAUGACAUGUGGCUAAAAAUUAAAUUUUAAAUUUAAAUUCAUCUAAUAAUAAUGCUGAUAAUGUAUAUACUAAAGAUUAAUUCUAAAAAUUAACCGUUAAAACUAGAAAAGAUUUUCAGAAAAGUUUUGAAGAAAAAACUGACCGUAAAUUAUUGUGAUGGCAUUGAGCAAGAGAAUGCUCCUCACUUUCUCCGAUGCGAAUAAAAUCUUUCUCCAUAGCGCUUUCCGUUCAAAGCUUCGACUUUCCGGCAAACUAACGCCUUUUUUAGAUAAGUCGGGCUCCUUUUCACUAUUUGAGAAAUCGCCAUCUCGUAAUUUAACUAAGAAUUUCGGCUCGCGUGAUUGUUUCUGUUUAACGCUUGUUCCAUGCGACGUCGUAGUAAGUUUGUUAUCCGUCGGACCGGAACUACUACGGUGGCAAGUGAAAGAAGAAAAGAGGUGAAAACGACGUCGGAUCGGGGAAUAGUAGUGACCGAGCUUGAUUGCUGCAGCAGAGGUGCAGUGAAACGGACAUGAAGGUGCAGCCAUGGUAGAAUGGGGUGCAGCCGCAGGUGAACACAGACAGAUUUCUCCAUGUCUUAUUUUUUUUGUAUACUUAAAUUUGGAGAACUUGAGGGGAAAUUGGACCAGUGAUGUACUGACGCGUGUACAUUUGUUUUGGGAUGCAGAGUGUGGAACUUUACGUGGCGAGUGUUGAUUGGCUUGUUGUAGGGUCGGCAGUAGGUACAGAAGAAGACGGAAAUGGUAGGAUAGACGUCAAAGAAGCCUGUGUCAAUCUAAAGAUUGAGAGGUUUCGUUCUCCUUAGUGUCUCAACGUUGUCCAAGCGCAUGACGUUGAACUUCAAGAUCAGGAUAUCUUUGUUUGUACUUCAAGAUUAAUUUUCCGUAAACACAUUUUUUCCUUAAUUUUUUUUAUAUAUCAAAUCGUUAUAUUAUAUUUUUUUUUUUAGAAAAAAAAGCUUAUGAAAAUACCAAUUCAAGCGGACUCUUAAUUUCUUAUAUAUUGUCUGUGUGAUAUUUAGAAAUGCAAACUAAUCAUAAGGAAUAGCAUCAAACUAAAUAAGUAAAUAAACGUGAGCGUGUAUAUUGUAUAAUUAAAAAUAUCAAAUUGUGUGUUAUUAACAAAUGCUAUCGGAGCUCUCAAAAUAAUCUCGAAGUGGAAAAAAAAAAAUUUAGCAUAUGACUUUAUUCUUUUGAGAUAAAUUAGGGUGAGGGGAAAUGAAGUAAAAAUUGCAAUUAUGUAUGAAAUUUCGAUGUAAAGUGGUAAUCAUAAGCCACAUUUUGCACACCCAUAUUCUAUUGCUCUCUAUGUAUCUGUCACGCUAGGUACAUAUUGUAUUUCGAUAGAGUUGAUAUUACAUUUUAAACUACUCGUGUAACAAAAAUUUUACAUUCUCACCGUAUAAGAAGUUUUUUUUGGAGUGAGUAAUUUCUUUUUUCUUUUUUUAAUUAAACCGGAUUGAUUAAUACUAAGUUCACAAUUCCUCUAUUGCAAGAAAAAAUGCUUUAAAGGGAUUCAACAUGAGAUUGGUUUGUUACCUCCCAAAAAAAAAAAACAAAAAAAAAACCAAAAAAGGGAGAGAGAGAGAGGCAUGAGUUUGGUUUGUGGAAUGUCCAACUUGAACGUGGUUCGGGCGACACACCCUGAUAUAGCAACGCUUAUGGAAGUUGUAACUCAUUAAACCAUAUCAGGCCUGUCAACGGGUCGGGUCUAGACCCGGAUCCGAACCGGAUCCGUGAAAUUAUUGCGGGUAUGGGUAGGGAUUUAAUUCCGUUUCUCGAAUCCGAAUUCGGGUCCGUUUUGUCAAAUAAAAAAACGGGUCGGAUACGGAAUAUAGUAUUCCGGCCCGUAUUAGACCCGGAUCCGGAUAUAAAUGAAUUAAUAAUUUAAAAAAUAUAUAUUUAUCAAUAUAAUUUGAUUAGGGUGAUGUAUUUUAAUAAAGUUAAUUUGAUUUCUUUUCUUAUUUGAUUUUUUCUUUGCAUUAGUUAGAAAUUAGUUUACUAGUAUAUUUUUUUCUCAUUUUUAUUAGAAAUUUAAAAAUUUGGUAAAUUUGUUCGGGUAGACCCGGAUCCGGAUUCGGGACCGCCGGAUCCAGAUCCGAAACGUAGAAUAAAAGACCCGUCGGGUAAACGGAUCGGAUCGGGUCCGGCAGAGUAAUUCAGGUCCGGGUUCGGAAUAAUGAAUUUCGACCCGGACCCGACCCGUUGACAGCCCUAACCAUAUGGCAUUCAAUCUGGGCUUAAGUCUCUUCUUACCCGUUCUCUUGAGUUUGUAACGUUGUCCAUUGGUGCCCAAUUGACAUCUAAGUGUUGUUUUUGGGCCCAUUUAUCGCAUAUUUUGAACCAUUUCAUUUACUUCCCUUAUCAAUAAAUGCUUCCCCUAUUAAUAAAUGGGUUAAAUUACCUUUGACAAUUCCUUCCAAAAAUAAAAGUUCCAAGAAAAUUUUUCUUGGAACUUCACAUCUCUCUAUAUAAUGCAUGAGCAAUGAAAUUGGUGUUAAAAAAAUCUGUCAUUAUUUGUUAUUCCAAUUUUACCCUUACAUAAUAGAAUAAUAUACGACCACCUCAUGUUUCAAAUUCAUGUUUACAUAUUUAUCCCAAAGUCUUCCUCCCAACUUCAUUGAAAAAAAAAAGUAGAAAAAAUCUCAUAAUAUAUUUUUUCCAUUAUUUGUUUUCCCUUGUAUCAUGCACAGCCGUAGGUAUGCCUCGCCCACUAGGAUUAAUAAUAUCUUAUCACAAUUUUUUUUUUCGGCAACGAUAACAACUGGAUAAUCUAUUCUAUCCUAAUCUAUAGGGAGGGGAAGUGUAAGGAGACUUGUGUAUUAGAGACUAAUAGAUAUGCAAAGCUAACUAUACCAAAGGAGUGCUAUAAGACCAUCCAUGAAUUUUUUUUGUUGUAGUGAACCCCCCACAUACAGACCAAAGAGGACUUAAAUCCCUUCCUGGUGGCCACUGAGCUAAGCUCCGUGGUUAUCUUAUCACAAUUCAAUUGCUAAGAUCAUCAAUCUAACUUCUUCUUCUUAGUCGUGUCUCAUUAGUCGUAGCUGUUAUGAAAACCAAGUCGCUGGCUAAGAUUAAAUCCGCUGCAAGGAAGUCCAUACGAAAAUUGUGGAGCAAUUUAGGAGUCAUAAUUUCGAGUCUUAUGCUCUCACUUCUUUACGCUAAUUAGCCUUUUCUAACCUGUUCACGUCAGUCAAAGCAUGAGAAUAAUUCCAUUUAAGGUUCGUACAGACGAUAGACAUCAGGCUUAGCAUGGGACUAUUUGCACUCAAUGUCCAAUUCAUGCAUUUGAGGUACAAUGAUUUUAUGGACGAGGAGAAACAAGGAUACUGAAAUGAUCGUUGGGUGGACAUCGAAAUUCGUUAUUCAUUUUCUGGUUUGCCCAUUAUUUACUUUCUCAUCCCGCAAAACUGUUUAAUGUAACAACAUUUAUACUACUUUGAGUUGCAAAAACUCUCUUCCUUCUCUCUUAAAAAAACUCUCUAGCCAAAAUAUUCUCCAGCUUUCCCAUGAAGAAAAAUCUAGCCAAAACGUCUUCCAACCCUUUCAUGGGAGAGAGAUUAGAUCUUUCUUCUGAUAUUUCCCCAUGAAAGGAGCCUCUCUCUAGUUUUAUUUUUGUUUGUGUCAAUAAAGUCUCUCCUAAGAUUUUUUACCAAGAGUUUCUUCUCUCUUGGACUUCGUUUGGGAGUGGAGGAUUUGGACAAAAAAGAAAGGGAAAAAAGAGAAAGUUAAGUUUUCGUUCAUUUGUUGGUUUUUAGUAGGAAAGAAAAGAAAGAAAAUGGAAGGAUUUAAAAGAAUGAAUGGUAGCCAAAAUUUUUCCUCCCAAAUUGGAAAAUAAAUGGGAAGAAAGUUUGAUGAUCCUUGUCAAUUUUUUUAAAAUGCCUAUUUUGUCCUUAAAAAGGUCUUCAACAAAUUUUUAAUGACUUUCAUAUCCAAAAUCUUUCUACUAAUUCUCAAAACUCCUAAACAACAUAACAAUCUCUUUUCUUCUCUUCUCUCAUAACUUAGUUUUCCCUUCUUUUCUUUUCUAUCCUAAACUCCCAAACUAAGCCUUAGGGUUAGCGAGUGAGAGUUCUCUUCUCUCCUAAACUUUUUUAGUAAGAAUUUUAUUCUCUUUUAAGUUAGGUAGUUUUUCAUUUUUUUUUUUCUAUUGUUAGAUUUGACGUUUUUUUUUUUUAGAUUUUGAUUGUCAAAUCUAAAAUUUCUUAGGUCUAUUCGGCAAAUCUCACCAUAAUAUUUGAAUUUGAAAUAGCUAAUCAGUAGAUUUGACGAUUAAAAACAUACACACUUGUUCAUGGGGCCACAAUUAUUUUAUCUUAAUUUUUAUUUGUUUUUCAUAUUUGUAAUAUCCAUUCUUUGAUAUCCAUGUAUUAUCAUAUCUGUUUUUUUGACAUCUAUAUAUGAUUGUAUACGAUUGAUGAUGCAACUUCUGCCACUAAUUAAUCCAAAUUUUAAUGAAAUUAUAAUGUUUUAUCAAAAAAAAAAAAAAAAUUAAACACAUCUAUGGAAUUGCACAUUCAAAUGAGAAAGUCUGGUUCCAUGAAUAUGAAUCUCAGGAUAACCAAACACAUUUACUCCUGCUUGCUAAACUUAAAAAUCAAGGUUAAUUUUUAUCUUUCACGUAAAAUUAUUUCACUAUUAGAAUUGUACAUUCAAAUCUGUUCGUCAUUGGCAUCAUUAUUUUGCACAAUUAAUUUAGUUCGCCAAUGGAAUCACUUAUUUUCCUUUUGUUAUGAAGCAAAUUAUAUUCAGCAAAAUAAUAUUAUAAAGGGCCGACAUCAGAACUAGGAAAAAGCGUAGGGAUAAGGUUAAGUUAGCUAGACGGAUCCUACGUAGAGCGCAACUGUUCAAUUCAAUGGCAAGUAUGCCAUUUCAUAGCAUGGCCAUCAUCUACGCAGAGCGGAACAUCAGUUGAUCAGAUCGAAAGUACAUAUAUUCCAAUUUGUUGAUGCCUGUAUUUGUCUAUUUGUGUUACAUAGUUAGUUGAAUGGUCAUAUCUCCAUCUAGUGCGGCUAUACUAAAACAUUCUCUUGCGCAUGCAGCAACAAAACUGUUGUGCAUCCUGGGUCAGGUGUGAUAAUACAAGCUCAAGCCACAAGCCUCACUUCUUUAAUAAGGUACGGGAAUCAUUUCUAGAAUUGACAAGAACUGGACGGGUAGACAACUUGUUUUCCUUAUCUGGUGCAUCGCCGCUUUUCUCGAUGCUUCUUUCAUCUUUUUGCGAUGUAGUGGAAGACGAUGCUCCUUGUAUCUGUACUGUUAAGCUUCCACCUAAAAUUGAACGGUAUAGAUAUGGUAAGCAUCUUCGCAGCAAAUGUUUUGGAGCACUAUAGCAGCACAGAUACCUUGAUGGCUAGACAGCCUAAGUUAUAAUGUAAUAUGCAGGUUGAAACAUUGUUAAAAACUUGUCCUCCUUUCAUCAAGUAGUUAUUUGGCUAGAAGUCAAUUAAUUAAGUCAAUUGACUACAUGUUUCUACCAUGCACGGUUGGAUUUUAGAAAUCAUAUAACAGAUUGAAGAUGUCUCAUACCUAGAACAAGAGCAGCUCCAAUCCAUCCAUUGACACCCCAUCUCUCUCCAAGAAAAAACCAUGCAAAUGCAGCACCCCAGACCGGCUGCAACCCAUAGAUUAUUGCGGUUUCUGUGGCUGAAACAUCUCGCAUGGCCGCUAUCUGUAUUAUAAUACUAGGUGAUUAGAUCAAGACUUGCUAGCAAAACCUGCUUAGAGAAUAAGCAUAUAUUGGUUAAGUCUUGGUUUCAAGUACUUAUUUAUUGAAAUGAAUAAAAAGCUAAAUUUUCCAACUGUAGGUCAUGAUCAAGGUCUAUUCUUUAAAAUGAAAUGCAUCUCAAACACUUCAGACAGUCAAACUAAAUUCCGUACCUAUUAGUAUUAUCUAAUAUUGCAGCAGAAAUCAUGUAGCGAAUUAUUCUGAUGUCUAACAAUUAGAAUUGUAACACGAAUUGUGGAAUGGAAGUGCUAGAAGAGAAUCACUAGUUUCUCAUCAUGGGAAGUAACAUCUUAUUAGCCAGGUAGUUUGAAUCAUCUACUCUUGGACUGAAACAGAGAGCACUUGUUUUCAUUGGCGAGACAACAGAUAUGAUUGAUGAAGUAAGAAAGAGAAGGAAUAGGAUGCCAUCCCCAUCACAGACUGAAAAGACAAGACAUAACAAACCGAACAAGUUACCAACCUUUUUUAACAUUCCAGGGCAAGAUGCUCAAGAACGACCAGUAACUUGGCAUGCCCUGGAAUAGCCCAAGCCUCUGAUUCUGCACUCUCCAAUUCAGCUUUUAUAUAGGUAAACCUUGGUUUUGGUCUUAGUUUUCUUGUCAGUCAUUUCAGCAGUUAACUUCCCCUUCUCACAAAAUCAUCAUCUGAGGUAAACAUCUAGUUCCUAAAUUUUGAAAAUUUGCAGGAAACUCCCUUGUAUAUUUAUGUGACCAGAGUAACAUAAUAAAGUGCAGGAGCUAAAAAUAUUUCUAACUGCAACAUAACAAGUAAUUUUAUCUGAUUAAAAAAAGUUUUAACAUAAUGCAUAUACUAAAAUACUUUUGGUUCUUUUAUGAAUACAAGGAAAAAUACCAUUGCCUCUUCUAUUCUUAUCAGAUUAGCAGUAAACCUUUAUUUCCAUCUAGCCUUCCUUUAAAUACUUAAGGAGAGAAUUUAUAUUUCAGUUUAACAGACAAACUUUAGACUACAACAAAUAGAUGAGUACGCGCAAUUCAAUUCAAUCAACAGAACAGGAUUGCAUAGAUGGAACCAUAUGGAAAGUUGCUCAAGAUAUGAGCACAAAGGCAUUCAAAAGAAGAACUUUCACAAGUAAACACUCAAGGUAGAAAACCAAUACUUUAAGGUGGCCAUACCUCUACCCAUAGACAUAAUCCUGUGGAGACCACACCAGUAUAAAUUGCAGGUACCCAUGGGAAUUCUACCAUCCAAUCCGCAAAUUUUGCCCAUGUCCAGGAUGAUGGAUUUAAUGCUUGAGUGCCACCAGAACAAACUCCAAGGACAUACCAGAGUGUUGAUAAAAAAGCAACCACACAUACCUAAAGGAAAAAAUGUCCCAAUAAUUCAUGUAAACUGAAAAUACAAAGCCAACAGAUUGAGGUGGCACUGAGAGUAAUUCAAUUCCUUCUAAACUAACCUCAUAUCCGAGGAGAGGUAAGAGGUUCUCUUUGGUAGUAGCUCUAGAAAUAUGUUCUGUUCUUAGCAUGUGAACCCCAAAAAAUACGGCACUUAAGAAAUUCAACAAGUCCCCAACCUGAAAGGUCACACUAAACUAGUGAGUACUCUUGCAUGUCUGUCUUCUGUUGAAUGACAAACAAUGGUUUCCAGUAAACAUAUUCACUUGAGAAGUCAAAGUUAACCUCUUCACACUCGCAUGUAAUAAUUUUGAGGAAGCAAAUAAACCAGGAAAUGUAGAAGACACUUACACAAGGAGGUGAGCCACUGGAUUCUAGCAUUCCAACUCCUACUAUAGACAUGAGGGCUCCAAACCAAGUACGUGCAGGGAUCUUCGAUCCUAGGAUACCAGCAAGCAAAGGAACCACAAUCACCUGAAGAAUUGUACCAAAAUUUUGGAAUGCUGGCUUAUAUGUGUAUCAGUGUAAAAUAAAAUGGCAAAAAAUUUGUGAAUUGAACGAGAUCCUUGCAUAUUUUCUUACAGUGAACAUUGUGAGAAAAGAUGCCCGUCCUGCAUCGGACGUCUGCAAUCCAAGUGCUUGCAUAAGGUAGGCGAGGCUGACCCAAAAUCCCAAUUCUAUCCCAGCAUUCCGAGUUUGAACAUCAUCUCUUGCUUUCAAAACAAAUGGCGAAAAUGCGAUUGCAGACAAAACAAAUCUGACAAUAGUGAAUGCUUCAGGAUCAAUAAAUGCUUCCACUUCUUUCACUAUAGGAAUAUUGCUAGCUGCAAAAAGAAAUGAUGAUAUUAGUUAAGCACAAUACCGAAGGCCACAAAAGAACUAUGUUGCUACACAACAAAUUUUGGCCUCAUAUGUCAGCCUCAGAAAAACUAUGAAAAAGCAAGCAUCAUAGAUUCAUAAGGCUUGCAAAGAAUUAGAGAAUGCAUAUGCAUACUAUGAUCCCAGCCAUUCGCAAGCCAUUAAGAAAAGUUUCUAGACCAGUUAGAGCUCUUUCCCAUCACAUAGGAUUGAAGAGAAUCUCUACAGUGUAUUUACCAUAUACAAGUGACACAAAAUUCGGGAAAGAUUACAUAAAUGAAGAUAUGUUUAUGUAAUUAGCUUUCUGUUACGCCAAAUGAUACAAUUGAAGAUCUCAAAGUGACAUGGUAAACAGCCAAAAUGAAAGCUCAACUAGAAAAACAUUCUUUCUCAACCAAAGUUUGAUUCAACAUGUCCCGUGAUUUUCUGAAAUAUCUCGAUGUGACUCCUCUUGAUGCUCUCAAAUGUCAUCAUGAGCUAAAAAAUGAGCUCCACUCAAAGAUUUCCAUCCUACGUUUUAUACAUUCUUCCUUUAACAAGUUCAAAUAAGAAUCUAGAAUUACUUCAAGAAAAGCAUAAUAACGACUAGGAAUCUUGGCCUAUCACUCUGUGUAUGGAGAUCAGUCAUCCUUUCUCCGACAACAUCCACCUCAUAGAUAAUCAAGAUUACAUUUUUCCUUUUUUCUUUUACUAGUAUUUUUCCUUGAACCGACACAACCUACCAAUUUCUCCUGACUAAUAAGCACGAUAUCACAUUUUUGCAUCAUAGUAGUUAAUUCAUUACCUUAAAAAUUAAUCGUUAAAACUAGAAAAGAUUUUCAGAAAAGUUUUCAAUAACAAACUGACCGUAAAUUAUUGUGACGACAUUGAGCAAGAGAAUGCCCCUCACUUUCUUCGAUGCGAAUAAAAUCUUUCUCCAUAGCGCUUUCCGUUCAAAGCUUCGACUUUCCGGUAAACCAACGCUUUUUUCAGAUAAGUCGGGCGCCUUUUCACUAUUUGAGGAAUCGCUAUCUCGAAAUUUAACUAAGAAUUUCGGCUCGCGUGAUUGUUUCUGCUUAAUGUUUGUUCCAUGCGACGUCGAAGCAAGUUUGUUAUUCGUCGGACCGGAACUACUAUGGUGGCAAGUGAAAGAAGAAGAGAGGUGAAAACGACGCCGGUUGGGGAAAUAGUAGUGAGCGAGCGUGAUUGCUGCGGCAGAGCUGCAGCGAAACGGAGAUGAAGGUGCAGCCAUGGUACAAUGGGGUGCAGCCGCAGCCGCAGCCGAACACAGACAGAUUUCUCCUUGUCUAAUUUUUUUGUAUAUUUAAAUUUGGGGAACUGGGGAGGAAAUUGGACAAGUGGUUUACUGACGCGUGUACGAUUUUUGGACUGGGAUGGGGAGGGUGGAAUGAAAAUAGAGCCGUCUGCAUUACGUGUCGGUUGUUGAUUGGCUGGUUCUGUGCUCCGGCGUAGGUACAGAAGAAGAAGAAAAUGGUUGGACAGAGAUCAAAGAAGCCUGCGUCAAUCUAAAAGAUUGAGUGGCUUCGUUCUCCUUAGUAGUUAGUAUCACAACGCUGUCCACGUACAGGACGUUGAACCUCAAGAUUAGGAUAUCUUUGUUUGAACUUCCAUAAGCACAUUUCUUUCUUAUUAUCUUUUCUUCGUAUAUCAUUAUAUUAUAUUUUUUUAUCAAAAUAAAAAGGCUUCAGAAAAUAACAAUCAAAACGGCCUCUUAACUGCUUAUAUAUUAUUGUUUGUGUGAUAUUUGGAAAUGCGAAAUAAUCAUAAGAAAUCGCAUCAAACUAAAUAAGUUAAUAAACGUGAGCGCGUAUAUUGUAUAAUUAAAAAUAUCAAAUUGUGUUUAAUAACAAAUGCUGUCGGAGCUCUCAAAUUAAUCUCGAAGUAAAACAAGUUUAGUAUAUGACUGUAUUCUUUUGAGAUAAACUAGGGUAAAGGGAAUUGAAGUAAAAAUUGUGAUAAUAUAUGAAAUUUCGAUAUAAAGUGGUAAGGGAAAUUUGUCAAAUUGGUCCCUAACAUUUACCAAAAACACUUUUUUAGUCAUUUACAUAUAAAAUCAGCCAAAAUGGUCCUUCACAUUUAAAUUGUGAGCCAAUGUGGUCCUAUUGCUCGUUUUUGCUCAUUUUUCCGGCUAAAAAUAGCACGCCUCUCUCACGUGAUCAUAUUUUUAGGGGCAAAACCGGAAACACAUUUCAUUACCUGUUAAAAGUAAAAGGUGUAGACAACCACCAAAAUACACAUUUCACCUUUGGCCCUCAAAGUUUCAAGAAACCCUAAAUUGCAUCCCCGAAUGGUGGCGAAAAUUAUUUUGUAAUUCUCCUGUAUAAGUGAUGUGCUUGAUGAAUCCAUAGAUCUGGUUCUUGUUUAUUUAUAUCCGAAAGUCCUAACCUUUCCAUUCUAAGUGAGAGUCUAACAAGUCCAGGACAUUUGUGCAACAUCGAUCCCACGAAUCCAAUUUGGGCCUUAGCUGGAACCCUAAGCCUCAGCUCCUCCGCCGCCCGCCAAAGCCGCUUACUUGUGUCCCUCCAUCCUUUGCAAACCCUGGCCGCCGACAACAGUGUUGGAGGCGGGAGCCUCCUCAACACCUCCCACAGACAACUCAUCGGCAGCUUCCCGGACCCGGCAAGAUCCGAUUCGGGGCUCCAGCUCGAGAAGCUCCUCCUCAUCUUCCUGGUGCUCUUCCUCAUCCUCUCCCUCGUCUUGCGAGUCCCUCGCAUCAAUAUCAUCGUCGAAGGAGAGAGCUCGCCGGAGGUUGGAGAAAUGUUGGCGAUGAGGAGGGGGAGGGGGAGGACGGACAAUGGAGAGAGGAGAAGGGAUAGCGAGGGAGGAGGUGGCUGAGUCAGUUGAGGGCGUGGCGGUGGGAUGCAAUUUAGGGUUUCUUGAAACUUUGAGGGCCAAAGGUGAAAUGUGUAUUUUGGUGGUUGUCCACACCUUUUACUUUUAACAGGUAAUGAAAUGUGUUUCCGGUUUUGCCCCUAAAAAUAUGACCACGUGAGAGAGGCGUGCUAUUUUUAGCCGGAGAAAUGAGCAAAAACGAGCAAUAGGACCACAUUGGCUCACAAUUUAAAUGUGAAGGACCAUUUUGGCUGAUUUUAUAUGUAAAGGACUAAAAAAGUGUUUUUGGUAAAUGUUAGGGACCAAUUUGGCAAAUUUCCCAAGUGGUAAUCAUCAACUACAUUUUGCACGCCCAUAUUCAACUUCUCUAUAUAUUUGUGAUGCUAGGUACAUAUUGUACUGAGCAAAUUGCGGGAAAUGCUGCUAAAUUAUUGCGAGGUGUCGAUUUUGGCCACUAAACUUUUUUAUUAGUCAAAAAUGUCACUGAACUAAUAAAUAUGUGUCGUUUUGAUCACUCUACGUACUAAUGCCGUUGGAAGAGAUGGAAAGUAACUUUUUGUUGAGAGGCAAUUUCGUCUGCACAACCUUUUCCUUGAACCUCUCUAACUUAAAUCCUCUCCCUCCAAUUCUGUCGGUCUCUCACCUCCUGGCUCCAUCUCCCUUUUCCCCCAUCCCAACAUUAUACUAUUAUAUAAAUUUCUAUUCUACUACUAUUGCUGCUACGAAAAUCUUCCCCCCUCAUCUUCCCCCUUCUCGUCCCCGGAGAAAAGGGGGGAAAAAACUUCUCCCUCCUCCUACUACAUUUUCAAUUUACUCCCAUCCAAAAGUUAAAAAAAAAAAAAACAAAAAAUGAGGGAAAUCUUGCACAUUCAAGGAGGUCAAUGUGAGAAUCAAAUUGGUUCCAAAUUCUGGGAAGUAAUCUGCGACGAGCACGAGGUUGAUCCAAUCGGCCAUUACAGGGGAUAUGGCUCCAAUGUUCUUCAACUGGAACGCAUCAAUGUCUAUUUCAAUGAGGCUUCCGGUGGCCGUUAUGCUCCUUGGGCUGUCCUCAUGGAUCUCGAGCCGGCACCAUGAACAGCAUCAGAUUUGGCCCUUAUGGCCAGAUCUUCGGCCCCAACAACUUCGUCUUUGGUCAGUCUGGUGCCGAUAACAACUGGACUAAGGGACAUUACACUGAGGGUGCUGACUUGAUCAAUGCCAUUCUCAACGUCGUGCGUAAAGAAGCCGAAAAUGGUGACUGCUUGCAAGGUUUCUUUAUUAUUACAUUGACCCUAGAGGGGAUUUGAACCAUGGACUGGUAGAACUUCAAACGGAUGGAAAUAUUAGACAAUUUUGUAGUUGGAUUUAUGAGUACAAGUUGAUGGAAGUAUACUGUCAUCAUAUAACGGUUGAGGAAAUAUAUAACUUGCAGAAGAAUAAACAACUGGAAGAGUCCUCACAGAGAAAGAGUUCAGUUGUAAUAUAGAAGAUCUCGGAUGAUGGUGAAAUUUUUACACAACAGACUACAACACCUCAUAUUGAACUUACACCUCAUAUUGAACUUGUGAGUUGUCAGAUACAUUUGAGAGAAUUUAUGUUGGAGAGCUUCAAGGAAAAGGUUGUGUAGAUGAAAUUGUCCCUCAAAAAGUUACUUUCUGUCUCUCCUAAAGGCAUAAGUACAUGGAGUGACCAAAACGGUAUAGAUUUACUAGUUCAGUGAUAUUUUUUGCUAAUAAAAUAAUUUAAUAACCAAAAUCGUCACCUUGCAAUACUUUAGUGAUAUUUCGCGCAAUUUGCUCUAUUGUAUUUCAAUAGAGCUGAUAUUACAUUUUAAACUACUCAUGUAAGAAAAAUUUUACAUUCUCACCAUAGAAGAAGUGUUUUUUUUUCUUGGAUUGAUUAAUUUCUUUUUUCUUUUUUUUAAUUAAACCAGAUUUAUUAAUACUGAAGGAUUUAAAUUUACAAUUCCUCUACUGCAAGAAAAAAUGCUUUAAAGGGAUUCAACAUGAGAUUGGUUUUUUACAACAACCCCCCUUCCCGCCCCCCAAAAAAAAGAAAAAACAAAAAAAAAGGGAGAGAGAGAGAGAUGAUUUUGGUUUGUAUGAUGUCCAAUUUGAACUUGGGUCGGGCCAAACACCCUGAUAUGGUAAGGUAUGUGGAAGUUGUAAGUCAGUAAACACUGGGCUCAAGUCUCUUCUUACCUGUUUUCUUGAGUUUAUAAUGUUGUCCAUUAUUGCCCAAUUGACAUCUAAGUGUUGUUUUUGGGCCCAUUUAUCACAAAUUUUGAACCAUCUCAUUUACUUCCCUCAUCAAUAAGUUUCCCCUAAUUUUCUUUAUCAACAAAUGCUUCCCCUAUUAAUAAAUGGGUUAAAUCAUUUUUGACAAUUCCUUCCAAAAAUAAAAGAAAAAAGAAAAAAUUUCUUCGAACUUCACAUCUUCCUAUAUAAUGCAUGAGUAAUGGAUUUAGUGUUAAAAAAAAUCUAUCGUUAUUUGUUAUUCUAAUUUUACCCUUACAUGAUAGAAUAAUAUACGAACGACAACUUCAUAUUUCAAGUUCAUGUUUAUAUAACUGCUAUACCGCAUUACCGCUCUACUACGAUUCUUAUCUACUACUGCGUUUACAUAACCACUACUCCUAUACCUAUCUACUAUUACUAUAUUUAUCUCAAUGUCUUCCUACCAACUUAAAUAAAAAAAUUUUCAUAAUAUAUUUUUUUUUCCAUUAUUUGUUUUCCCCAAUAAUAUGCACAGCUGUAGGGUGUGCCUCACCCACUAGUUUUAAUAAUAUCUAUCACAAUUCGAUUGCUAAGAUCAUCAAUCUAACUUCAUCUUUGUUUUUUUUCCCCCUCAAUCUAGCUUCUUCUGGUCGUGUCUCAUAAGUCAUAGCUGUUAUGAAAACCAGUUCGCUCGCUAGAUUAAAUCCGCUGUAAAGAAGUCCAUGCAACAAUUGUGGAGUAAUUUAGGAAUCAUAAUUUUGAGUCUUAUAUGCUCUCACUUCUUUACACUAAUUAGCCUUUUCUAACCUGUUCACGUCAGUCAAAGCAUGAGAAUAAUUCGACUUAAGGUUUGUAGAGGCGACAGACUUCAGGCUUAGCAUGCGAAUAAUUGCACUCGAAGUCCAAUUCAUGCAUUUGAGGUACAAUGAUUUCAUGGACGAGGAGAAGCAAGGAUACUGAAAUGAUCGUUGGGUGGACAACGAAAAUUCGUUAUUUAUUUUCUGGUUUGCCCGUUGUUUACAUUCUCAUCCUACAAAACUGAGUAAUGUAACAACAUUUAUUCUACUUAACAACAGGAGUUGCAAAGACUCUCUUCCUUCUCUCUUGAAAAACCUCUCUAGCCAAAAUGUUCUCCAGCUCUCCAUGAAGAAAAAUCUAGCCAAAACGUCUUCCAACCCUUUUAUGGGAGAGAAAUCCGAUCUUUCUUCUGAUAUUUCCCCUUGAGAGGAAUCUCUCUCUAGUUUGUUUUUGUUUGUGUCAAUAAAGUCUCUCCUAAGAUUUUCUACUGAGAGUUUAUUCUCUCUUAGGGUUAGUGAGUGAGAGUUUUUACUCUCCUAAACUUUUUCAGUAAGAAGUUUAUUCUCUUAUAAGUUAUGUACUUUUUUUUUUCUUUUUUUAGAUUUUGAUUGUCAAAUCUAAAAUUUCUUAGGUCUAUUUGAUAGAUCUCACCAUAAUAUCUGAAUUUGAAAUAACUAAUCAGUAGAUUUGACGAUUAAAAACAUGGACAAUUGUUGAUGGGGCUACUAUUAUUUUAUCUUAAUUUUUAUUUGUUCUUCAAAUUUGUAAUAUCCAUUCUUUUCAAAUCUAUUCUUUGAUAUCCAUGUAUUAUCAUAUCUUUUUUUUUUUUUGACAUCUAUAAAUGAUUGUAUACGAAUGAUGAUGCAACUUCUGCCACUAAUUAAUGCAAAUUUUAAUGAAAUUAUGAUGUUUUAUCAAAAAAAAAAAAAAAAUUAACCACAUCUAUGGUAUUGCACAUUCACAUAAGAAGUCUAGUUCCAUGAAUAUGAAUCUCAGGAUAACCAAACACAUUUACUCCUGCUUGCUAAACUUAAAAAUCAAGGUUAAUUUUCAUCUUUCACGUAAGAUUAUUUCUCUAUUGGAAUCGUAAAUUCAAAUCAGUUCGUCAUUGGCAUCAUUAUUUUGCACACUUAAUUUAGUUCGCCAAUGGAAUCAAUUAUUUUCUUUUUGUUACGGAGCAAAUUAUAUUCAGCAAAAUAAUAAAAUAACAAAGGGCCAAUAUCAGAACUAGGAAAAAGCGUAGGGAUAAGGUCAAGUUAGCCAGACGGAUCCUAGGGGAGUCCUAAUAUCAUCCGUCAAUUAACUUCCCCAGAGGACCAUGAAACAUUCUCCCGGUAUGGCAUUGCCAGCUUUAAGCAUAGUUGAACCAAAACAAUGAGGGCAACCGUGACCACAUUCAUUAAGACAAAUCCAUGGAAGCCUCUUCUCUUUAGCUAGUUGUCCUUGGCGUGAUAAAGUUAGCCUUCUAAAUAUCUUCUCAAUUAAUGCAUGGCUUGUUUUAAUAGAAAGAGGGAGGUAUCUAAUUAAAGACAUUAGAGUAAAUGGCAAAACCAUCACUCAACUAUUUAAAAUUACAUAUUUUGGUCACCUUUUUUUUUUUUGUCAAAAAGGUCACCAAAUUCUUAGAAGUGUACGUACAUUUUUUUGGUCAUUUUAUUGGAUUCUAGUGCUAAGAUGGUUGGAAAUAUAUCCAUGAGAGCAGUACCUUCAAAAUUUUCAAGAAUAAAAAUGUCUCACAAUUUGGCACGUAUUAAAAAAGAUUAAGGACCUCUUGAGUUUUCAAACUUUACUAAUUUUCUCUAGAUAUUGACCAAAAUUCCUAAGCAUUGUUAACUAUUACAAUCAUAAUCUAGAGAAAAUUAGUAAAAUUUAAAAAUUGAGAAGGCCCUUUAUCGUUUUUUAAUGCACGCUAUAAUUUGUGAGAUAUUUUUAUCAUUGAAAACCUAAGCAUACUGCUCCAGCUGUGAUUACAUUUCUAGCCGUCUUAACACUGAAAUUCGAUGGAGUAAUCAAAAAACAUAUACAUUUAUGAGUUCAGUGAAUUUUUCAGCUAAAAAAACGUUUGGCGAUUGAACAGUACAAUUUUAAAUAAUUGCAUCACCUUUUUUUUUGUCAUUUAUUCAAGAUAUUACAUUGACACCACGUUAUCUUGUGUAGUUGAUAAAAAUUUAAGUGAACUUAUGGCGAAGUAGGAUGAAUUUGUAUGGACUGGACCUUUUCGUGGCCAUUAUGGCUUUCUCAAUUGGUGAUAUGAACGUCAAUGAAUAUACAAUGAAGAUGUUGCUGGAUUUGAAUGUCAUGCCAAUAAAUUGUGAGCCAGCUAGCCAGCAAAGAUGGCAAUGACUUGGGUGGGUGGCUGCAAUAAAGAUUUGUUUCAUGUAAGCUGGCAAAUGGAAGGAUGAGGCUGUUGGGCCAAUAUCACAGUCUAAUUUACUCGCAUUUGUACACUCUGCCUUGCCAUCGUCUUCAAGCAAACAUUCAUUUCGUGGGAGAAACCAUUUUCUUGGCCCUGGCACAAAACAAGAGAUGCCCUACACAGCAUCUAUGAAUUCUCUCGCUCCUAGAAUCUUUUGAACUAUGUAAAACUUUUUGUAUCGAGAAAAAAACUUUCACUUCUCUAACUGUUUCUGGGGAUUUUUAGAUGAUUUUGGCUGAAAAAAACUCAUUCCAAAGAAGUUUCCUGUCUGCAUUUUAGAUCCCACCUUGAGAACAUGGAAAUUGUUGAAAAAUAUAAAAAGUUGUAACAUUGGAAGAACAAAACUAAGUAUUUUACCUGUUUCGCUUUUUGGAGACAGCAUGCAUAUCAAUGUUCACAUACACAGAUGAAGACGUAGAUUUAGUAUUUUAAUGCAACGUUUUUGAGAAAUAAGUACACCAACUGCUCUGAGUGAAAAAAUAGUUUAAAAAAGAAAUUGAAAGGUUGCUGUAAAUCCGGGGAAUACUGGAGUCUGCAUUUUCUUGAAUCAACUCUAGAAUGCCUGGCAAAUUAUCGAUGAUCCCAAAUGAUAGUGAAUUUCUAACAGAACAUAUGACCAAAGUUUCGACUGCCAAGCUCCUCCAUUCAAUACGAAAUUUGGGUUAAAUAUUGAAUUUGACAUGGAUUAUAUGUACCACAUUCUUAAGAUUUGAAUCACAUAAGCCACAUUAUUGAGAGAUUUGUUGCCUAUAGUUGAAUCAAAAUAUUCAUACGUGAUUAUUAAUCAAAUAACAUUGUAGUACUAAUAUUUGAGUAAGCAAGAAUCAUUAUAAAAUAAUAAUGAAGCUGGAAGCAAUUAAUAGACGUUGUGGUACAGCGUUCUAAGGCUUGAGAAUGCGUGUUGGCCCAGCAAGGACAGGCAUCCCCAUUGAUAAAAACGGAGCAUUUAAGUGAAAUAAAACAGAUAGGGACUUCUAGGAAUAAUCAAUCAGGAGCCCCCACCCCAGCUCAUAAUAAAGGCUCUGGACACAGAUCCAAACUAGGCACUUACUACACACUUACUCUCUCUUAGCCCUUAGGACAUCUCUAAUUCUUGUGGUUGACUCGAGAACAUGCUAGGUGAUGCUAUGGUCAAAAUCACUUUCCUCAAUUCGUUAUGAAAUUUAUGUCAAUCGUCAUUCAAGAAAAUCAUCGAGUAGUAUUAUGAUGGAGCUAUAACAUGAUAAACUGACUUGGGAUCUUUAGGUUUCACUCCCAGUGUAGGCGCAACGAAACUACCUCAAUACAAUAAUAGUGGUGCGGCAUGAGUACAUUGUUAUUAGUUAAGUAUACCCCUAAUUCCCAAGAAACAUACUUUGCCCAAAUUACAACAGAUGUAGCUUUGGUUUCCUUUUCCUUUUUGGGAAGUGAACCUAUUGAAAAAACAUGAUGUCAAAUGAAUAUCCAUGCAUGUGCCUGCCUGAACUUUUUCCAUGUUUUGUUUCAUCAUCCCUGUCUACCCUUUCUGGUUCUGAGAACUGAUGACUGAACCUAAUAAAAGGGGUAGCAGUGAAACUGUUCAGAGCUGAAAUUAUUCAGAUACCUGGGCCGUUUAGUCCUGAAGUUUAACUAAUAUCAAACAUCGUGACUAUAAAUGGAGAAGAAUCAGAAUGAUCCCUCAUUCCAUGCUCCACAAAAAUAUAACUGUGUUCAUCAGUUCUUUAGUACUUAAGGUCUUAUUAGCAUUCGAAGGUUUGCAGUACUGCCGUUGGCUUGCUGAGGGUUUUCUCAAUUAGUCACUGGUCACUAGCAUGUUUCAUGAUGACUGACUGAUCAUGAACCAUGAAUAUUGCUGGCAAAAGAAAUUGAAAAGAUCCAAAAGAAUAUGAAGUAGAUGAACAAAAGUAACUACAACAAUUAAUACAACGGACAGAAGUUUCAGCAGAAGGUACAGAAGGAGAAAUACCGAGAAGUAAACAAGAGCAUUGAUACCAUUGCCAGCCUAGCCCUCUUGCUUAUCAGCUCUUUUUUCUCAAAACUUGCCGGACUUUCCCCACUACCCCCUUAACACAUGACUGAAAAAGCUAAAAGCUUUGCUACCAUUAAUUCUAAUUCAGGAAACUAAAUAAUGACAAUAAUAGACUGAAACUUUUACAAUUAUUUCUUGACUGAAUAUUAAUGAAAAACUAACCCUUAGAAUCAAUUGUAGCAAAGCUCUCGCUUUUUUUUUUUUUGGUCACUAAUUGUGAAGAGGGUUCGGACCAGUAUGCACUAUUCUCUCAUCAUCUCCGUAUAUGAUAUCAGAGCUGGUGUUCUGAUGAUAUCUUCCAAGAUUUACAUUAUUUGUUCUUGAAGCUGCAUGGAAUGAUGAAGAUACCUUAUGGAAAAAACGUGCCUUUCUUGCUGGUGACCAAUGCGACGGAGCAAUGUCAUCAUUAUUCUCAGCUGAAGAAGAUAAACAAAACUGAGGAAAAAUUAGGAGUAAUCCAAGAAAGAAAGCUGCUGCUUUAGACGAAUCAUAUCUCUGUCUUCUUCUUGUUGUUCUUGCUGUUUCUGCUUCAAUGUUUGGAAGUUUCAUUGGAUAGCCUGCAGUGGGAUUUUUCACCUGGGAAUUUGGAUGUUUUUCUAGGUGAAUAUGACCAUUUGAAAGUUGUUGAGACUUGAGAGAUCUCUGACUGAAAUUUGGUAGUAUUAUGGAAGAAUUUAGAAACUUUUGACCCUUUUUAGUGCGUGGUGUGCGUGUUUGGGGGAGAAGAAAAAGAGAGGAAAAAGACAAGGUGAGAGAGUUCUAUGCUUCCUUAUCUUGUGCGUUUAGUCACAUGAUCUUGACCCUUGAUUCCUGGAACCUUCUUAUAUUUUCUCUUCUGAAUUCUGAAUCUUCGAACUCUGAACCCUCUUAGUUAAACACUAAAGUGCAAAGGGUUUUGGUGCUUAUGUGGUGAUUUCUUGAUGGAAAUGCAUAUGUUUGUGCUUGGAAGUUGUGGAGGGUGAUGGGACUGUCCAGUAUUAAUAGCCGUUGUCUGCGGACUAUUGCAACUUUUAAAUCUAUGAAAAGGGUGGGCUGCCUAUGUCAAACAGAGAUUUAGAUGUUUGAUUGUUGUUCUUAAGUUAAUGUUAUAGACAUCUUGGUCUUUCAUCUUUAGUUUAGUAUAACGUUAUCUCAUAAUUAAUUAAGGUAAUCUAUGCUUUCUGCGCAUAUGUGAGUGUGGAAUUGUGUUGGCUUCUGGUCUUGCUAAAUUAAUUUUUGUUUUCAGUGAGCCUAACAUAUAGUCACUAGUGAGCUAAUUUGCAUCUAAAACUAUCAUAACUUAAUCUGUCAAUCCACAAAACUCUGGUUUGACUAAUUCAAGAAGUGACCUACGUGUAGUUUCGAGUUUAAUUUAUCUUCAUUCAUAGUAUAGAUUACUUACUUCUUAGAUACAACUAGUAGUAGGAGGUUUGAAGCUGGCAAUUCUUAGAUACCUAUUCUAUUAGGUGAUUUAUAGUAACCAUCUAAAAGUUCUCUGGUCCAAUGACUUAAAACAUAGUAGAAGAGUAAUUAAACCAGGUCUAGGACUCUAUAUAGGGGGGAUAAAAACAAAAUAAAAUAGACUCUAAAUUCUUUUUUUUUUUUCCUUUUGUUUUCAAUUUAGAUAAGAGUUCAUGUGCACUGCAGUUUACACAAUUAGUUGGAGUUAAUCAACAAAAAUGUGGAUUUCUGGGAUAUGUUGUCUAGCUAGGUUUCAGCCUCAAGCUUUGCAUAUGGUGCAAAAGCUUUGAACACUUAUAAAUGCAAAAGCACAUCCAUGGAGUUAGAAUGUGUAUAUCAGAACUUAUUCAACCACCAGCCUUUGAGCUGGUGGCUAUCACCAGUGCAUUAAGACGUGGUGGGAGUGGGAGGCAAGGGUUUAAUUAAAUGUGGUCUUGGUUUAAAAAUUUAGACGGAUGCGUAGUGCACUCGUCUGAUCCGGUAGUGAUUCAGUCCCCUUCGGAUUACCCCAAAAUCUCUUCAGGUCCUCCCCCUCCCCAUAGUAUAGAAAGCUAUCGUAUCGAAAAAAAAAAAAGUAUAUCAGAACUUAUUCAUUGCGUACGAAUCACAUAUGUGAUAUAUAUAACCGGUAAAAAUUCAUGUGUAGCUCACAUUUAAAGCCUGUCUGUGCAAUAACUGUUGCACAAGGUACAAUCUCAUGAAGAGAUAAAAGAUUACAUGGAUUACAUAGUACCUAGUACAAUGUGGAAUUAAAUGAAAGAUGUUCCUGGAUUAAAAACAAUCAACUAAUAUGGUUGCGGAAAUUUAAAAUCAGAAUUGAACUUCCCUCCAACAAUUAUAGUUCAAAAUCGGUGGAGUAAUGGAGAUAUUUUAUUGGCAUAUUAAGUCAGCCGUAAUGCUUUUAGAAGUUUCCUAUAUGAUUAUUUAGCAUUUUUUUUUGGGGUCAAUUUUCUUAUUGUUUUAGCCUUUUAGGCAAGUUCCUAUUGUAUUUGUUUCCCAUUUACCUCAUCAUAUAGACUAUAUACAGGAUAUUUGAAAGUUGAGAAGAGUGAAAGUUUGGAAGCCUUAUUAUCGAUAUUAUUUCUCUCCUCCUCUAAUUAAGGGCUUGUUCUGUUAGCUGGAGUUGCCUCGUCAUGAAUUACAGACAGAGGUUUUGCCAGAACUGUCCCACUUUUAUGAGUGAACGACAUUUAGAUACAAACAAAAUACUACUAGCAAAAUAGAGCUUCCUAGCAGAAGAACAGAUAUGGAAUAGUAGAGUUACUUAGGAUGACCAAUGAAUUGAAGAAUGGCAGCUUGAGAUGCGUUGACAAAUUAAUGCAGUCACAGAUUAUCAUGUGCUCUUCUGUAAUAGUCAGUUAAUUGCUCCACUGAUUUGUACUGGCACUGCUAAUGAAAAUGCAUAAUUUCACAAUAAUUUAGUUCUGACUUUUGACUUGACUUGAGAACCUGCUAUAAAGGAGAUAUAGUAAGAGAUAUUGAUAUACAAAUGUAUAGUCUUUGUCAUUAGCAAACAUGGAGUAAAUUCCUCACAAUGCAAUUUUUGAUAUUCACAAAAAAGCUAGCCUAGGAAAAGAGGAAAGGAAAAGUUUUACCAUAUUUCAUAGUCGAUCCCCAUAUAUUAUCUUACGUGGUUCACAGAAAUUUUUACAUUGGAGCUAAAUAGAUGCGACGAGAACCAGAAAAGAAGAGAAAGGAAAGUGCAGGUAAUUAAGACUUCAAAAAUGGAAGUCCGUGGUAGAUUUUGCCAAAGGAGAGGUAAACUUUGCACAUCAUCUUUCCUUGUUCAAUUUAUUCACCUUCUACAUCCAAUUUUUUUCUUUUCUUAUCCUCUUGCUCGAAACGGGACAUGACUAUUAAGAAAAUCCACCUCAAAAGCUAGUCGUUAAAUUAGAACUUCUCACCACAAUUCCGUUUGAAUUACUAUUUUCUGGAGUUUUUACAGAAAAAAAUAUAUUAAAGCAAUUUGAUGUCUACGAAAUAAAAAUAUGCUCACGGAAAACAUAAAAAUGUUGACGGGAAAAAUGGUAAUCCAAAAAAGGGCGACCAAUUGCAACUGAGAGGGAUGGAUGGUUCUAACACUAAUCUAUACCUGUAUGAACAUUGAAUCAAACCUACUUCAAAAGCUAAACAUUGAAGUGGGAGAAACCAAAAUCAUAUUCAUCACAAACUAGAAUCUCAUACUUCUAAUAUAAAAUUCAAGUCCAAACCUUGCAAUUAUUCCAUAACACAAUGAUACUAGCGUCCUGAAUGGGUUUAUUGGAGUGUGUAGCUAGGAUCGAAAGCUUUGAAGUUGACCAAUCUCUCAACUUUUGUCACUCAUGCCUAGUUUAACACUCUUUUCUCAGGGAAAAAUACACUUCACGCCCUUGAACUAUCAUGUAAUCGCCUAAUCAACAAUUACUUCCAUGAAUUAAUCCAUCGAAUUAUUGAACUAAAUAGCAACAUCUUUGCCAUUCGCUGAGGAGAUUUUUCUAGAGAUCUAUUAAUGCUUGGCUUCAUCCAGAACAAAAAGAAUACGCCCAAACCUAUAUUUACUUCUCAUGGAAAACUUGGUUGGUCAGAGUCUGAUGGUGCAAAUAUGAAGCAGCCUUUACCAAGUCCAGAACAUAUACCUAGACGGCUAUCUGGCUUAUGCUUGCACAAAUUUUUGCCAGUUUUACUUCGACUUCUUUAUAGGAUAAUUUUCCAGUUUGUCUAAUAUAAAACCAACUUUCCCUGAUCUGAUUCUGACUACUCAGUGGAUCCCAAGUUGAAAAAAGGAACAAGUUUUUGCUUCAGAAUUGGCCAUACUAACUAAAAUUAGCCCUAGAAAGAACAGGCAAUGGUAACUAAAAAUGGUUUCGUGAACCAGCUUGUGAACACCACCCUAGCUAGCCCUUAGUAGAAAAGUACUGAGAAAUCAUUGAUUCGACCAUGCCAAAACUCAGAACUUGUCUACGUUAAAACAUCAUAAAGUCUUCCUCCGACUGUCAUGCAUUUCCAUAACAGCAAUAUUUGUCCCUAUGCAAAAUUACAAAGUACCGACAUCAUAUUCUUGAGAUCACUGUUAGAACAGUGUUGUUCAGACGAAUGAAUUGAGAAUGACAGCUAAAAUUUCGUCGAUGAAUUAAUGCAGUCAAAUAUAUAUUACUCCAUCAUGCAUGUUUUUUUUUUUUUACUCCAUCACCUUGCUCAUUUGGUACACUACAGGAAUUUACAAAAGGGUCCUCCUUUGAUUAUUUUUUUUUCCUUUUUUGUGUCAUUCCCUAGCUAGUAUUCUCUUAUCUAGGCCUUGAAAAAUUUUUAAAUAAGUAAAUACGGGGACUUUAUAAUUGCUUGCUUGGCAAUGGACAUGGCUAAGGAGAGCUAGCUAUUCGAACUGCCAUCGACCAGAUCAUUGUAUUCAAUUAAUCAGCUAUGAAUCUUUUGGCAAUAAGUGAAGCUGCAUUGUUGUGUGUACGUGCAAUUACAACUGCAAUUCACUUAUUUUCAAAAACGAAAUGGUCUGAGACGAGCUUUGCACUGUGGUGUUAUUGGAAAUGAAAAACUCUUCGGAACUAUUUCACGCAAAGUUGAAUUGUUUGAGCUUUUCGCUUUGGUACUUAUUUGAUUACCAAAUUCUAUAUGAUACGGGUAAUGGGAUAUUUGCACUGUUCCCAUCUUUUGCUCUCAAAAUAAGUUUUGAACAAUCAACAUUAAUUUGUUAGCAUAAAAACCAAAGUGAGAAUUUGAAGCAUGCCUAAGAUGAAUUUAAUAGGAUGAAAAAUAGAGGUAAAUUUUGUAUACGCUGACAAUCUAUAUAUACACUAGUGGAUAUAGGUUCAUACUAUCUAAUUUGAAUUUUAAUUCUUGCAAAUGUGCCAUGCAUUCAUAUCUAUUAGUAUGUAUUUUGUUAGUUAGUGUAUAAAAAAUUAAUACAAAAAAAAUAAGGUCUAAUAAUUAUUAUAAAAAAAAGGUCUAAUAAAAACCGUACUUCAUGACAAUCCAUUGUAGUGGGCUUGGUCUUAAUCUUCUACUUUGGGCUUGGAAGAAACCGUAUAUAGAGCGGAUGCCUUUUGGGCCCAGGAAAGUCCAUAUUCAAGAAUACCAUUCAAAUACAAAAUCAAAAUGAGAUAAAAGAAACUUCACUCUACAUAUUAUUGAGUUUAAACUUAUAAAACACUCGGAUUAAGCUUUUUUAACACAAUUAGUCUAGGAAUUUUUUUACACUAAUAAAUAUAAAUACAUGAAAUACGUGCAAAGAAAAUUUUCAAAACUAAAUAGAAGUUAUGUCUCAUGCAUUCCAUGUGCUAGUUUUUUUUUUAAAAAAUUUAUACUAACAAUGUAAGAACGAUUAAUCUAAAAUACUUUACUAUGAAAAGUUCGUAAUAAACUAUUGAUUAAUUGUUACUACAUUUCUGGUAUAAAAUUUUUUUUACGUUAAUGAGUUUGGAUGCAUGAUACAUAAACUUCAUUGAAAUUUGAGAUUUUGUUUUCAACAUUUUAUUGGUAGUGCAAAAAACAAAAAAAAAAGAAAUCAUUAACAACAUACAAAUCUAUAAAGAAUAGUAAAAAAAAAAUGGUAGGCAUGUUUCUAAAUUCAACAAAAAAUUAAUCUAAAUAUGAAAACUCCUGUAUUCACUCUACCACGAAUGUUUUAGAUUGCCUAAACGUUAAUAAAUAUGGAUUUUGGCCCCUUCAGGGUUCAAGAGAAAUAUAUCAUCAUCUCAUAAUUAGCCAAAAUAGGACUAAAUUUAAAAUUCUCUAGUUGGUUCCACAAGCUGAAAUUGUCAGACAAAAGAGUCCAACUUGAAAUUCUAAAAGGAUAAAAUGUUAUUUGCAUUCUCAUUACUCUAUUUUCAUUUUGAUGAAAUCAUAUUAUUGCUGUCCUAAUCUCUUUUCCUUGUCCAUGAGCUAAUUUUACCAAAUUUUCUCUUACAUUCUAAAACCAAUUAAUUAUUCCAUUACACAUUAAAAUGGCUAAUUUAAAAUUGUCGCUAAUAUGUAUUAUGUAUUUUUCUACAAAAUUUCACGAAAUUAUAUGAUGCCAAAGAUCAAUCUAACAAUAUAAUAUGAACAGAUUCCAAACUUCAAGACCAAAAUAAAUAAAUAAAUAAAUCCCAAACUUCAAAGAUGACAAAAAAUUGAGUACAACUAUAAUGUCUCAUAAAUAGGAUACUAAUAUUUCAAAAAAUCUGUUAAGAAUAUCUCAUAUGACCACAAUAAAGGAAGUGAAGUUUUCUGGUAUAUUUCAUCAAUCUCUUCUGGAGAAUUGUUUUCCAUAGUUUGAAAGCCCUAAAAUUUUUUAUGAAAGAGAAAAAAAGUGGAGUUUAAAAUUUCUUUUAAAAGAAAAGAAAGUGAAGUUGAUGUUUGCUGCUCCAAAGUUGUCUAUAAGUGAUAGAGCACAAAUUAGAGUGAGGGUAAUAUGUGAACAGCAUAUAGAUAAUGUGAACGCAAUAUAGGACAAGAGUAAAAAUUAGAGUAUCUUGUCAAAAUAAAUAGGAUAGUAAAAAUGCAAAUAACACAGGAGAGUUCAAAAAAUAACACAUUACCCUUCUAAAAUUACACGAAAAGACAAAAGGCAACAAAACACCUAAGCCGUCAAAAGCCAAAAUCAGAAACAAAACACAAUCAACGGAUUUUGUAGGAAAGUAGACUUGCGUAUGCUUGGAAAAAACACCCCGAAUAUGCUGAUACUUUUUGUAAGUAAGUGCCUGUUUUUUUGAGGAAGAUUCCCCCCCUCAUUCGCAUAUCCUUUUUCCAUAAAUACCCUUACCUUUUCGCCUUGUAUUUUUUCAAACCAUAAUCUGCAGCUUCAAAGAAAAACAGCAAAAAGAAGAAAAAAAGAAAAAUCCCAGCUGACUUCAGAUAGAUUGCUGCAAUCCCUUUUCUCCAGGUUCUUUAAUUUUACCUAUUUGUAGCUUUUUAAGCAAUCUCCUUUUUUCAUUUAAGUAGCUGAUUUUCUUGAUUGUUGUUCCGUUAAUGUUUUCUGGUGAUUUCUUCAUUUUGUGUUGCUUGGUUUUGUUUUCAAUUGAGAACCCUGAUGGGAUUUUGCAUCUUUUCAUUCCUUUCUGUGUGUUGAUCAUGGGCGCAUUUUUUAAAAAGUUGAAGACUUUAAUCGAUUGCAAGACUGGUUUGUUGAAGGGAUUUCAUUGCUUGCCUGAAGUUCUUGAUGGAUAUGAAGUUUACCUUUUUAUAUUUAUUAUCAUCAAACGAAAGAAUCAGUUUUAUUUAAGAGUUUUUAGUACCAUGCAGGAAGUAGCUCAGAAAAUCUUUAAUGCAAUGUGCAGAAGGAUAUCUAGGAUUUAAGUUUUUUCUACGGGAUAUUUUAUGCAAUAGUUGAUUUUGCAUAGAUAUAUCUGAUCAGGUGGUAAAAUUUAGUCUAGUUUUAGUUUGGUAAUUUUUGGCUGGAUUUAGAGACUGCUUUUUAUUGUUCGUUCUCGCUAAUUAGAUUAAAAUCUUGUAGCAGUAACCUUAAAAAAAAAAAAAAGAAUUUGUAGCAGUAACUGAAAAAUGGAAUUAAUAAAGAAAUAAAAUACAAGGUAAUACUUAAGGAUAUGAGUUUCUUUUUAUUUUCUCCUUUUUCUUGAGAUGGAAAUGAAUUGGUGAAAGCUUACAUGCAGUGCUGCUGGUCCUGAAGCCUUUUGUAUGCUUUACAUAUGUAUAAGAUCAGCACUGGUGUUUUGAACUCUUAUUGUGAUGAUUUAGUGACAUAAUUUCUAAUGACUUUAGGAUUUUUUAAUUCUGUUUUCUAAGUUGUUUCUGUUGGAUCUUUAUUCUUUACAUUUAGACAUUCUUGAACAUAAUGGAUAUUACAUUUGUUACAGGGAUUGGGAAUAGGUUUUCUGCUGCAUCCUGAGCUCUUUCUUUACCAGGGCAUUCAUGUCCUGCUGGCAGUCAGUCAGUUGACUGAUUGCCAACAGAGCACAUGAGUGACCAAAGUGCAUUAAUGCCUAUCAAAGCCUUGGAGGGUAUACACGGAGUACAACUGGUUCCUAAUUCACCAUUUACAUUUGAAGUGAUAAAACAUGAGGAUUUACAGCAGUCAACCUGCGAAAGUUUGACUGUUGGGACUAGCCAACAGCUAAUAUUGCAGUAAGUCGAGAAGAAUUCGUGUUCUCUAUCAAUAUAUGCUUCUGUUUUCAAUUCAACUUAAAAUGCUGAGCUGAUAAUUGUUUUUGACAAGCAUUAUAUAGCUGACAACAGCAAUCUAUUUAUCAGGAGAGCAUGGCAGCAAAGGCCUCCUUGUCUUAGGCCUAUUCACUCUUGCGCAUCUGGUAAUUUUAGAACUUCAUGUGUAUUUUUUAAUCAAUGGUAUUGCGGUGCAUGCUUCCUUGAACUUUGAUUUUUUUUUUCUUUUCUAAAACUUUUAUUUCUGUAUUUUAGGUGAUAAGACUAUUGUAGAGAGGAUAGCUAAUGUGCUUACAUCACUUCCUUUUAUUGCUCUUGGGCUUCAGGCACCAAGGUAGAGGCUUUCCCUUAAUCCUGCAUGUGUUUGGUGGAUAAAUGUGUAUACUAUAUUAUGUGAGUAAUUCGGCUUUUGGGAUGUUACAACAAAAUCCAUCCCCCAAAUGAACAGAACAGAAACAGUGAGGGGUCUGGGAGGUUGAAGAUAAUGGUUGAGACCUAAAUGCUUUUUGCUGAUGAUGCAGGAAGAAUCUAAACUGUAAACUUUAUGCCAAUUCCUUAAUUGGAGUAGGGCUUGCCUCCAGCUUGUACCAUGCUUCGAGAGGAAAACUAAGGAAAUAUCUGAGAUGGGCUGACUACACAAUGAUAGCCACAACAACAGUGGUAUGCCAUGACUAUAUAGUUGUCUUUGGAUGUAUGCAUUAUAUUUGCUAGAGUUCCGUAAGUUGAAUCGAGUAGAAUAAAUUUGUUCAGCCUUCAGUAUCAAUACUUCCAUCUAAGAAAAUUUUCUUGGCAUAGAAACAUAGUGGACAAGUACAUGCAAAUUGUGGCAGAUUGGUUUUCUAAUCCAUCAGAAAGUAAUAAGUGGAUGUUUUGAAACCUUUGGAGUGUCCUUGGAUAUUUUCUAUGUGCCAUUGCCUUUGUCAGGGGCAUCAAAAAUUCUGACAGACUAAUUUUUUGACAUUCACAGCAUCCCUCUGUUAUUCCCCCCCUUAAGUUACAUGCCUUUAAAUUGUUCUGUCUUUUUUCUUUAAUUUUAAGAAUUAGUGGCUUGCAACAGCAUCAACAUGACCAUUUCUUCUACUUAUUGUAAUUUGUCCUUUUGAUUGAGUGUAUCUGCUCAGCCUGUCUGUGUCUCCAGUUUAAAAAAGUUUACUUUCUAAAUAUGCAUCACUGGAUGUCUGUGAAUUCAGAACAUGUAUGCUCUAAUUUAUCCUGGAUUUUCAUCUCUUAUUUUUGUACUAUAAUACCUUGCUGAAUGUCUUAACAUAUAAUGACAAGCUUGUAUCCUGCAAUGAUGACUUGACUAAGUAAGGCUGAUAACAGAAAUUAUCAGAUUACGUUAUAUGUAACAAUGACUUUCUUGUGUGUCUAUUUGGAAAAGAAGCUUUUGACUCAGGUAUUCUGCACUCGUCUAGCAGCUAAAUAGGGUGAGCAACUUGCUUCACAAAGGGAAAGGGAAAGAUAUUAAAAACUAAAAAAAAUCUAAUCAUUGAUUUUAUGGACCUUUGCCUUUUUGCUGACAAGUUACUCAAAGGAAAAGAGAACUCUUGUGCUUAGAUAUGUCCACUCAUACAGCAUAUUGGUUUAAUGCAGCUCACCAUGCAUUGUUUGAUUUGUUGCUUUUCACUUUAUCUCUAGCAUGAGGAACAGAGGAAAUGGAAAGAUUAGGAUAUUCCUGUUGUAUAAAAAGUAGCGUUCGAUUGCAGUUUGUAUUUUUUCUGCUACAAGUUCAGUUAGGUUGAUUCAAUACCUGUAAGAAUUUCUCAAUAGUAUUUAUCCCAAGCAUUUUCUAGAUGCUAGCUAACCAGUAAACCUUCAUUGAAUAACCUAGAUCUGGAUUACAUUUUACUCUUUUAGUUUUCUAAUUGACAUUUAUUACUGAUUCCUUUGUAGUGUUUGUCAAGCGCACUGCGCACUGAGAACCCAAAGUUGCUCAUGGCAGCCUCUGCUGUAUUCCUGCCAAUCCAGCCUUUGAUGGUUUCUGCAGUACAUACUGGGAUGAUGGAGGUAAUAGACGUACAUGCAUAUCUAUGAGUUGAUUCAUAAGCCAGAAUGCAGUCUGUUCUAAGUCUUGUCUUUUGACUCUCUUAAGUGUAACUGAGGUCUGGGAGGCCUCAGGAACGAGCUAAAAGAGUUCAGACCCAAUCCUCUCCGUUGUGGCGUGCAUUCUGUGUUCCAAGUCUUAUCUUUAUACUUAUUACUUGACUGGCAUAAUAUACAUAUGUAGCUUACUAUUGCCAGUUAGGUAUGCAAGAUUGAAGUUGUAGUUCCUUGGAGUAGGGAAUCAUUCUGGUUAACAUAAUUAUAGAGCUGGAAUUAGUGGAAGCUGAAACACAGUUUACUACAUAGCUUGUAGUGCUUUAAUUUUCUUGGUUGUUUAUGCUCAUGUCCUCAUCUAGCAUGAGACACAUUGAAGAUUUGUUGUUCUUCUGGUGAUAGGAGGAGAGAGGAGGCAAAGGGAAUGUUGCUCAUGCCUUGGCUUGACCUAAAGUGUCUCUCACUUGUUUGAAAUCUAAUAUUGUCCAAAGUAGGUUAUUUUAGCAUUUGGUCGGAUUGUAAUUGAUUAGUAGACAAUAGAUCCAUAUGCUACUGAUUAUUGAUUCAUGAAUUUGUCUUUACAUCAUCAAUGACCUCCGCAUCCUUUUUAGAACCCAAAAAGAUGAAGCCAAGUUAGCUGCCCAAGUGAUCUGUCAAAUGUGUUUCCUAGUCCUACCAUCAUAAUACCUGAGAAGUAUAAAAUAUUGUCCACAAUUGACCUUCCUUGGGCCUUCUCAGUUGCUGCACACGCUGUCCUGGAUCCAUUGAGAUUCCAUAGCUUGCAACAUGCGAGUUAAAACACACCAAAGAGAACAUUGAGAAAAGCAUGCACUGGUUUACUAUAUGUAAUACACAACACUUGAACUUCUUCAUCCAUUUUUGAGAGGUCUCAUUUAUCCUACCUUAGUUUCGAAACUUGCUGUAACUAAAGAUGCCUAGCCACCCUUCCAUUUUUAUCCAAACAGUCCAAUCUCAAAUACUCAAGUAGCCGAGACAAAUUGGUAACGUUACCUUUUUUAUUCCCCAUGCAUCUGUCCAGGUUGCUUUUGCAAAAAGAGCAUUUCAAGAUCCAGAACUGAGGAUGGCACACAAUGUACAUAAGAUGUCAUCACUUUUGGGUGGUGCACUUUUCAUUGCUGAUGAUGUCUUCCCUGAAACUCCCUUCCUUCAUGCUGGUUGGCAUCUAGCUGCUGCUGUUGGAGUUGGCACUUGUAACAAGCUUUUAGAGCAACUUCAGAAUUAAUAAAUUAAUUUGUCGAAAAUACUUCAAUUCCUGAUAUAGAGCGUAGUUUAUCAUUGAUCAGAAAGCUGAAACUUGUUCAAUAUCCCCAUAAUCUUCAGAUUAAAAUGUAAUAAUAUAUUUAUUAGGUUAGGGGUACCGUCAGCAGUGGGUUCUGUAGUAUGCCUUUAUAGUCUAAAACGGUGGCAAUCUUCGUUGCCUUGUACUUUACAAAAUCAGUGGAUUCAUCGAAGAAACGAAUUAUUUGUACUUGCCCUUCUGUUUGUAUUUUGGUGAAGCAUGUAAGAUUUCUCAUGUUCUGCAAUUAACUGUACGUUUCGCUUGAGAAAAGAUUGUCCAACUCUUUUGGGCAAAUCAGCUAUUUGGUCUUCAAUGUAGAACCAUCCUUUGGAGACUAAUCAGGAAAAUAUAAAUAAAUUGGUAUUUCUGGGCGUCUGUGGCUAUGUUCUUUGGCUAUUCAAGUAGAAAUAAGGAAAUGAAGAUUUGAAAUCAGAGUUCUUCACCAGCUUCCCGUAUUGCUUUUAUCUCUUUCACAUUAGUUGCUUUAAAGAAUUAAAGAAAAGUAGCAUAAACUUUGCUCUUGCGUAUAUUUUUUUCCUUGUUUCACUCUCACAUGAUAAGGGUACGAAACCUAAUUGAGGGUAAAGGAUAAACAUGUCCAAAUGCAACACUGUUGGAAGGACUGUCCUCAAUGCCAAAACAGAAAGCUAGUUUGCUAGGAAUUCUAGAGUCUAGACAUAAGAUUUGUGGCAAGCCGAAAAAAGCAACCAAAUGAACGUGUUUCUCGAUCUUCAGGCAUCAUUUAGUAUUCGGGUCCUAGCUAGCAAAGACAGUAGUAAAUCAACUAAUAUAUCUUGUUGAUUGUACUGCAUUGGACAUGCACUAAGCUAAAAGUUUUGUUUCUUUUAUUUAGCUUCUUCAAUCCAAUGAAUGAGUAUCUGACUUGCAAUUUGAUUUCAGCACUAUUCAGGUUGUGGAUCACCGAUUGUGGAACUGCAGAAAACUAUUUCAAGCAGUUGACUAUUGAACCACACCGCUCUCUGCUCAAAAGUCUUCGGUGCUCUAUUUUGAACAUGAAGCAAUAAUUGGUCCAACGAAGGCUGCAAAGAAGUCUUAUGAACGUGUACAUCACUUGUGAAUCACUUUGCUGCUAACUAAUAAGUAUAUCACUUAUGAAAGUGAUAAACUGAACUCAUUGAGGCUGUUUUAAAAUCAAAGACAUACAAAGGGGAGACAGUUUAGAAAUAAGAAGUGUGAAAGGCACUGGAGCAUGAAUAGGUAGUAAAACGAGAAGGAAAAAGAAAAUGAAGUGUGAUGAGGGGCUGAGGCAGAUGGCAUGGUUUGAAGUAGUAGAAUGUGGAAUGCAAAAAUCAAGUCUUAUUGAGUUUUGAAACUUCUCUCAUCAUUGACAUGUCGCUUUUACAUCUCUUCCCCCAAUAUCUCCCAGAAUUUCACGCUUUCUUUUCAAUCCUCCCUAGUUUGCUUUGUCCUUCUCUUUUUUCUCUGACCACACUGCACAGCUGCAUAGCAUGGUCUACCUAUUGAUGAAGUACUCUUAUCUCUUGUUGUUUCUUCUAUAAACAAAAACCAUUCUCCUUUACUUCACUGCCCCCCAUCCCUUUUUUCCCCCUCGUUCCAUCUCUAUCACUGAAACUCAAGAAUUUCAAUGUCCCUUCCAGUACAGUAUUAACCUUGGGGCUGCAGAAUUCCUUUUUCACCUAAGCUUUUAUAACCGACCCACGAGAGAGAGAAGCAAGAAAAGCAAACACAGAAAAGAGCAUUCAAUAAUUGCACUAAUCUUGCAUCUGUACAUGUAAACACAUGCAUUAAAUUCAUGACAUAUGUUAGCAUUUUUGCAUAAGACCACCCAUCCCCAACCCUGGCCCUUCCUCCUUGCUUGCCUUUUCAUUUCAGCAGCAUGCUACUGGACCAUAUUGUCAACUAGUACUUGCUCCAUAAAUCUCUCCCAUCUUUCACCUUCCAAUCCCUUCUUCGGACACCUAGUGAACAACCUAUUAUGUGGUUGAAAAAUUGUGAGGAUGGUGUCAAGGAAUCUAGAUAUGAUGCAUUAUACAAUCAGCGAAUUCGCCAUAUCUUCCCAAAAUCUAAUGCUUCAAUGAGCAAUUGUGCUCCAUGUUGCUUGAUACCAUCUAAUUACUCCAGUCACAUUGGCAACGGGAUUGGAUUUCCCAUGAACUACCAUCAAAGUAUGUCACAAUUUUUUGUUAGUUUUUCUUCUGUUUUACUUAUUUGUGUGAUGAGUUAUGAAUGUCUUGUAGCUUGCGUUAAUCAUGAUGAAGAAAUUAAAGAUGAGAACCACAUGGAACCCAUAGUGAGUUCAAGGUGGAAUCCAACACCGGAGCAGCUAAUGGCCUUAGAGGAAAUGUAUCGACGCGGAGUAAGAACUCCCUCAGCUGAAGAGAUCAAGCUCAUUGCUGCAAAGCUUCGCCAGUUUGGUAAGAUUGAAGGGAAGAAUGUGUUCUAUUGGUUUCAAAACCACAAAGCAAGAGAACGACAGAAAAGACGUCGCCAACCGGACUCAAAUUCUAGCAAAAAUGCCACUGACGUUGAAACCCUAGAUGCAAAAGAGACAGGUAAGUAGGGUUUGUAUCGCACCAUGAUGCUAAUGCAAUAAACAGUUUUUCUUGACAUGAAAUAGGGUUUUCUUCUUUUAACUAUUUUCUUUACAGGAUUUAGCUGCAAAGCUUUGGAAGGUGAACACAAUAAGAAGUUGGUUACUACAAUUCCAGCAUACAGUUCAACUUCAAAGGUCUGUAUCCAUUCCUUUGAGUGAUAGGCCUUUGUGUCUUUUUCUUCUUCUCGUCUUAAAACAAAAACAAGAGAAGAUAUUUUAUGAGGUAAUGAAGGGAACAUUUUCUUCCUUCUCUCUUUUCUUUUUACAAAAGUAGGUCAAUUAAUUUUUCAAAAGGGCAAAAGUGACAAAUGCAAGAGGGAGGAAAGCUUUUAUAUGAUGGGAAAAACAAUAAGAGUUGAAAUUGGAAAAGCUGCAUUCUAUACUUUCUGGUAGUUAGGCCUGUUGGUCUAAUUCCUGAAAGGGUGUUAGUAUUAUUGGGGAUAGUGCAAAUUGACAGUGCCUUAAAUACUUGUUCAUUUCAGGAGUCUGCAUCAAUGCAAAGAUCAAUGGUAACAGAAAGUGGAACAGAUGGAUGGACUCAUUUGGAUGAGAGAGAACUGCAGAAGAGGAGCCAAAGGAAAAUAGCAAAGGGUGCAACUUCCCUGAUGGAUAUGUCUUGUAUGGCUCCCAACUCUGACCUAUUAAACACCAUAACUGCACCUUCCACACUUGAAUCUUCAGGGGAAAAUCAGCAGAUAACUGCAUUAAAUUCCAGCGUAGUUUCCCCAUCCUGCGGUGAAGAUAUGAUCAACUAUGAAGAUGGAAGAAGAAACCAUCACACACUUCAGCUAUUUCCACUGCGAAGCGACGAUCAUUGCUCCAUUAAAGCAUCAGAGACAGAGUUUAAAGAGCUUAGGACAACGAUAAGUUCCAAACUUCCUCCAAAACAGUUCUAUGAGUUCCUCUAGGAGCAGCAUAAGGAUGCUUAUCUUAUGUGCUACUUAGAAUGAAUAAGUUCAGCAUUCUUACUAGUAAGAUUGCAGCACUGAAUAGUUUAGCGUUUGCCAAAAAUUGAAUCUAACAAGCUAUCCAAAAUGGAGAGCUAGCUAGUCAGUAGCAGCCAAUGGAGACUGUGGAGUAGUAAUUGAUAUGAGAGGAAAACGACAGAAACUCUGGACUGAUGUGAAAUACCUUUGAUGUGAUGUAAUCUGGUACCAAGGAUGGGAGAAUGUUACAUUUUCCAUGCGUAUUAUUUUGGAAAUUUCACUAUUUAUAUAUGGCAUUUACGUUUUACAGUCAGAUCCAUAUAAAACUGAGAAGAAGAUGACUAAGAUAUUGAGUUGUACAGUGUUUUAUUUCUCUAAUACCUAUAUAGACUUUGUUCUAACUGGCUAAACAAUUAUGACAGGUCAAGUCAUAAUGCACAUUUUGAAGUAACUAAAAAUGGGUUAAGCUAAUUUGCCAAUCUAGUUAAUGUUAAAGUUUAAGAGAUUUUGGCUAUAAUAGGAUAACGUGUUAAAAAAUAUAUCUAUAUUACAUACAGAUUAUGUCUCCUAGUGUUCUUUCUAAAUUAUCCUUAAUAACUACCCACUGUCAACAUGUUCUUCUAUCAAGUAACAUAUAUUUCUUAUUAUUCCAUUUCUUAACUUAUUUAAUAAAUAUUGUUUUUUAGCAACUACUAGCUAUCAUUAUGCCUUACCACCAAAUAAUUAUUUGUUUAUACAUUUUAUUUUGAUAGAUUUUCUACAUAUCUAUAGUCAAAUAUAAAAUCAGUUCUCUUGAAAAUGAUUUCAACAAAUAUAUUUAAAAAAUCUUAUAAAUAUUGUUCUAUUAAUUGCAUACGCAUUGUUGUGUUCCUUGAAUACUAGUAAAUAUAGGUGGUGGACAUACUCUAAAUUUCGAAUACUUUAACAAGUAUACAUCCCAUAUGAACUUUACUCCAAAGCCAUUAUCGAGGAAACAAUAAAAAAAAAAUUGAAAACUCAAGUAUUUGCAAAGUAAGUGGUUCAUACUUCAAAGAUAUGAGACCUUAAAACGUGAACAUAAAACUCUUGUCAACCCUUUGGCUAUGCAGAAUUUAAUCGAAUUUAAAAACUAUCAAACAUAAAAUGCUGAUCGAGUUUGGAUCGAUUAGUUAGCAAAUCAAGCUUGAACCAACUGUUAUCAAAUCGGAUUCAAUUUGAGUAUUGAAUAGUUUGAUUCAUCUUUCAACCCUGACCAUAACAUAAAAACUAGUUAAAAAGGGUUGGAAGAAUGCCCAAGAUAUUAGAGUAUAAAAAAGACAUUAAUAUACAUUUUGUAUUGCUAACUCUCAUUUGCUUCUGUAUUCCAGGGAAAUUAGGCCAAUCCCUCUACAGCUAGUUAGUCAGAAAAUAUGUUUACCAAAAUAAAUGCAUAACCAAUCCCACUGGUUCUGUUGCUGCAUCAUUGGCCUUAGGUUCUGUGUUAGCGUCAUUCCCGUUGUAUAUAGGGCACGCAAAAUAUUAGUACAACUGCGAUGAGAACUAAAGUUGUCCACAAACACAAAGCCCACCAAAAAAAAAAAAAAGAAAAAGAAAAAAAAAUUGCAUUUCAAAACCUCCAAAUGAUAUUCACAAUGAUGUGUGCUGGCUUGUGCAAUUGUACAAACUAUGAGCAACUGACUGUGGACAUGCACGUUACACACUAGACUCAGAGAUCAAGGGGCCCUUUAACAGUUGAUCAGGCCCUUUUCCAUUUCGCAGAAUUUUAUGGCCAGGAUUUAGCUACAUCAAGGUACCAUGGUUCAAUUUAGUGUAUAAAUGGAUUUAUUCAAGCAAAUAUACAUCAACCCUUGUCCUUAAUUGGACCACAAAUCACAGUGACGAAAGUAGUGCAUACAGCUCUGUCCUUGACUGGGGCGAAUGUUAGUUCCUAAUGGUUUAGGAUCUCAAGUGUUAGGAUAGUCCAAAUAUAAUUAGAAUAAAUCUUAUAUACGCUGACAGUAUAUAUAUUAUCACUUUUUGAUUCAUGAUAUAUGUGAAAAAAUUGAAUUUCAAAUUUAAAUUUUACAUAAUUAUCAUUUAUCCAACGCUGAUAUCGUAUACACUGUCAGUGUAAAAAGAUUAAUCCAUAUAAUUAAGGCAAAAAAAAAAAAAACUCAAACACUUUAUCCCUUUUUUCUUUUUUACUUUAAAAUGGAGGUUGAAGUCCUCACACUUAAAAGAUGUUAUAUAUGAAUUAAUCGUGUAUAUCUAUGUUUUAAUCAUUACAAUACAAUUAUCAAAUAUUCGAGAUCUCAAUAGUUGUCAUCACUAGUUCAAAAUCAAAGACUCGAGAUCUCAACAAUAGUCACUAGUUCAAAACCCGCGGUGUUGAGCUCUUUAUAUUGAUUAUCUCCCAAAAUAUAUUGUUGUUUGCUACAAAAUACCCAUGCAGCUUUGGAGCAUUGAAUUAAUAAUGUUUGGUAAAUGCAUGUAGAGGUAUGAUAAAAAGCUAUGGAAGACACAGGAGAAGAAAGAAAAGAAUGUACUGAACAACCAAAAAAGGAGCCUAUUGCCGAGGAACCGACCGUAUGAUCUUAGACCGAAUCUAAGGUGGGAAGAGAUAUUUAAUUCCAUGGACUAAAAAGGCUGCUGCCUUUGGUUGGAUUGGUUGCUCUCUUUUAUUCUGCUUUGCCUAGUCCCAACAAGACAAUACACUUUACAUUUUAUGCAAAACCCUCCGAAGUCCAAACAACCCAAUGAGUCAGUGUGUACUUUGUAGUCCCCAUUAAUGGUUCUUGCUUCUUCAAGUCUCCCUUCUUAAAAUCAUGUUGUACCCUCUGUUGCUUCGAUUCAACUAAUUGGUACCUGUUUUCAAUUUUCUUGUCGAUUUUUGUUGGAAAAGUCAAAUUCAUGCAUCAUACUGCAAUGAUUUUUCUCUUGUUAACAGUAUCAAAAGAGUAUUAAAGUCAGCGAAAUUUUUUUACUUAUUUUGACUAUUGAGGAGGUCACGAUCAUGAUCUGAUAACAAUUGUCAUUUGAGAAAACUUGAAAACUAGAUUAGUUUAAUUUAAGGAACAAGAGCUAAUUCAUGACCAUUUUAUAAAUAGCAAAGUUUCAGUUCAUAGAAUACAAAAUGAAGACUUUGACUAGCACAAGCAAUUGCUUGUCUCUCUAUUUAGUUUUUCAUUCCUACUAAUAACAAGCCCAACCCUGAAGAAAUUUUAUGCCUCAGAUGACUUUUGCUUUAUUUGAGAUGAUUAUUAUAGUAUUUUUUAUAAUAUGACAUAUGUAAGAUAAAUAUAAACAGUAACACAACAAAAUUUUCUCACUUCUUCAAAUUUGUACCGAAAAUUUAUGUUAGUAUCCACGUUGUCAUUUCAUUAUCUACAUUUAUAUAUGCUGACUGGUUUUUCUUGUUUGACUUUUUUGUCAAUGGUCAAUGUUUAUGUCAAACAAAAAUUUUAAUCGGAAGCAUAAUGUUUGAAGAUAUAUUAAAUAGGACAACAUUUUGCACCGAAAAAAGAAACAUAAGAGACAAUCUUAUAUAGGCUGUCCUUUUGGAGUCUAGAUUAGAGAGUCAUUGUUUAGGUAGCUGUGCUUGUUUAGUCUAUAUAUAAGGGGAAUUGACACAUCAAACCUAGGUUUUACCAGACCUAUAUACAAGGUCUGUACUGAAACUUUUCGAGCACCCAUAAAGAGGAUCAAAGAUCACUGCAGAAAUUUGAUACAAUUCCCGGGACAGAUGAAUAAAUAAGUGCAGAAGCUGCUGUGAUCUGAUCAUUUACGUAAUUAGCUGCAUUUGGAAGAAUGAUAUCUAAAACAUCAUAGCUUCACAGCUAAACCUAGCUCCAAAGAAUGCUUACUCAUGCGGUAAUAAGGAUUCGUCUAUUGUGGGAACUCUGGACUGUGCGCACCAUAGGAAGUGGAAGGAGACCCUGGCACGUAUGGAGCUUGUCAAUCCAGGGCACCUGCAUUCCAAAUUGCACAGGCAAGACCCACAGCCAUGGUUAGAUACUAAGCAUGAAAAAGUAAAAAGAAGAAAAGCACAAAUGAAUUAGGAAAUGGUUAUGGGGUUGACCGAUAACCAAAUAAAUACACAUGGGGUGCUAGUUUGAAAUAUAAAAUAAGGGGAUUAUGGUAACUUAUUUACAAUUACUUCAUUUAAUAAAGCUUUUAGUAAUAACAUUUAAGUAUUUAAUAAGUACUUAAGGCCCCUUUUGAGGUCGUGUUACAUUUACCAAACAAAAAACCCUUUUGAACACUAAAAGUACUUCUGCCGUGUUUGGAAACUAAUUUUUCGUAACUUAAGGAACUCAGUUUUUAAUAAUUUGAAAAUUCUUUUGUUAAAAACACUUGUGUCAGAAGUAUUUCUGUAUAAGCCACCACAACUGCAAAUAGGGCCUAAGUGCUUUUAAGUAUAUUAUUUGGGUACAUAGUCAAAUAAGUACUUAUUGUAUUACAUAAUGUGUAAUUUAAAAAUUUUAAACAUAUUUAUCUCUUUAUUUAAUUCAUAAUAUAGGACAAAAUGAUUAAAUCUAAUAUUUUAUUUUUUAAAGACUCAAAAACAUUUUUAAAGCACCAAAUUAAAGUUUUUUUUUUAUAAAAGUGUUUUUCACACCAAAAGUUUUAUUUUUAAUUUUAUGGGGUGAUGUUUACCAAACACUUCAAAAAUCUUUUUGACACCUAAAAGUACUUUUUUUUUGGUUUACCGAAAGCAUCGAAGCAACGAACGGAUCCUAGGUAUAAUUUAUAAUUCUUGGGGAUUGUUGAACAAUUUUGACAAGGCAGUGACAGUGCAAUUAAAUUGGGGAUGUGGAAGUAAUAACAAAUUAUUUGAAGAGUUAGUAAUGAGUGUGAGAAAUCAUGCAAGGUCAAUAACAGCAAAAGAAAUAAUAACAAUUUGGAUGGGACAGGCAUAAAUCCCUUGUUACGUAGUUUAGUCACUAAUAUGGCAACCACUAAUUUGAGAGGUUGGGUUGGGUAAGUUGGGUAUUAGGUUAAUUUUGGAUUGGGUAAUAAAAAUUCAUAUAUAUUUUGGAUGGUUUGGGUAUUUGUGUUGGGCACCUAUUACUAACUUAAAUUUAAAAAAAAAACAAAUUAACAAAUUAAAAUCAAGAAACAAAAAAAAAAUGACCAGCCUUGUUGGAUCAAGCAAAACCCAUUUAUGUACUGGUAUGUAUAAUUAUCAUAUGUAUACUACUACUAGACACUGACAAGGAUGAUCAACGAGUAAUGCUUAAAAAGAACAAAAAUUGAGAAAUGAACGGUGCAGCACAAAUGUCAGUAGGAUUUUUUUUGAAAAAAAGAAAAAAAAAAAAAAGAAAAUCCUUGUGCUCUUCGCUCUUCACAUCCAUCCUUUUGCCGAGUUCCGGAAAAAUGCAUCCUAUUGUUCUUCUAUUUCUUUUUCUUUUUUUCAUUCAAAAUGAAAAAACAAGUCCCCCCCCCCCCAUUUAUUGAUCACUUCAUCGAGAUCUCUUAGUUUUGUUCCACCCAAAAUUGUUGCUUCGGUCUCUUAGUUUGGACCAAAACUAUACCCAAUUUGAAAAUCCUUAUUUGUAUAAAAAAUAGUGAGUUCAUCCAAAUAGUUUAAAUAGUUAGUAUGUGUGUGUAUUUGUGAAAGUAUAUUAGUUUGUAUUGUAAUGUGUUUGUAUUUCAAAAGAGUUUAAGAAGUGAGUGUGUGUGUUUAUGAGUGUUUUAGUGUAUAAAAAUAUGUCUAUCUAUGUGAAAAUGUAUGUGAAAAUGUAUUUGAGAGAGUUUAUGUAUUAAAAUCUAUUAAUUAAUAUAUUAGGUCAUAUUUGGGUCAUGGGUUUGAGAUGACCCAAUAUGACCCAACCCAAAAUUAACCUAAUCUAAAGUUGGGCGGAUUGGGUGUCACCUAUUUAAAUGAAAAUCAAGUAUCAAUCCGCCCAACCCGCCCAAUUGCCAGGUAUAGUAACCAACAAUUUAAAAAUAUAUAUUCAUAUAUUGAGGCAUAAUUUUUUAUUUGGUUAAAAAAACCUUUAAAAUAGAAAAACAGUAGAGAACUGUGUCCAUUUCUGUGCUUGCUUUUAAAAGAAUUUUGGCUUGUAUAUCAAAGAAUUGACAUCACAUUCCGUGUCAAUUUCUUGUCCAAACACGCACUCACUUCGUAUAGCAGGAACUUCCGUACAGUUCCGACCCUAGACUGAUCCUUUACGUAUGCAUUUGUGGGAAAACAAAAAAUUUGGUCAAGCUUUUGUUGAGAUACACACUCUAAAGCAGUAUUCUGCACUCUAAAUGAAAAUUUGAAAGUAAUUUUCAAGUCAUAUCAUCAAUAAUUGAAAUAUAAUUUAAGUAGUAUAAAUUAGUUCACAUCUCAUUUUGCAUUUACUUCUGGGAUAAUAUCAGAAAUCUCCCUUGAGAUUUAUUUUAAUAUCACUUGGCACUCUUGAGAUUUUAAAAAUAUCACUUACCUCUCCUAGUAAUUGUAAAAGGACUAUAUUAACAUUCAUUUGACACAUAAUUCACAACAAAUCAAAUAAAUGGAACUUAAAAAUUAAAAAAGAAAUGAAAGUUACUUUCUUCUUUCUUUUUCUCUAUCAUUCUCUCUUACUCAAAUUUUUUUGGAUGACUAUGUAAUAUUUUAUUUGUAAAUUAUAAUAAAUUGAAUUUUGUUUAUCUUUUACUUUUUAUGAUUGUGAUAAAGUUGGUUGUGAUUUAUUUGCUUAUUUUGAGUUGAUUUUUAUAAUAAUUGGUAUAAUUUAAUGGUUUGAGCAAGAGUUGAGAAGAUGUUGGAAAAAAUAUAAAUUCAUAAGAAAUCGAUUUUGAGCAUAUAGAAUUAAAUUGAUGCAAUUGUAUUUCUUUUCAAAUAUCUUUUUAUUUUUCAAAUUUAUAUUUUUUUUGGAGUAUAACAUUGUGAUAUGAUAGUACUACAAGAGAUUGUUUUUGAGGUGAUAGUUUUCUUAAAGUGAACAAAGUGGUUUAGGAAUAUUUUUAUUUAGCAAGCACAAGGGCAGUUUAGGAUUUUUAAAAAUUAUGUUACACAAAUAACAAAAGUAAGAGAGGUAAGUGAUAUUUUUAAAACUUUAGAGUAUCAGGUGAUAUUAAGAGAAAUCUUAGGGCAGGUUUAUGAUAUUAUCCCUUUAUUUUUACCAAGAAAUUAUAAACAAAUGUAUGUUGUGAAGUCCGAUAAAUUUUUAGCAUAUAUUUGGUUAUGAUUUUUUGCUUAUCAACAAAUGAUUAUAUUUGUGGUUUCAAAUUUAAAUUGGUAAAAAAUUGGAUUGCAAGACAGCUUGAAUGUUAUAAAAUGGACCACCUAUCUAGUAAUGGAAAAUUUGUAGCAAAGCGUCAAAUGCAAAUAUAGAAUUGAUUGUUUUUUUUCAUAGCUUCACCUUUGACUUUAAUGAAUUGUCCAUAAAAUAUUUUUCCAAAUAAUCUCUCUCUGUUUCAAUUAAAAAAAAAAUCUUGCUGUUUCAACCACAUUCUUCGUGCUUCUUUUUCAAAACUUCAUUGCUUUAUGCCAUUGUUAUAGCUUUCCAAGCCUUUGGGAUCAAGACCACAUUGUAACCAAACUAUUGGUGGAGACUUAUUAUCAACGUAGCUAUAGAACACUACAACAAAAAUGACCUUUCCUGACAUGCCUAUAAGGACAUUUGCUGGUUUGUGCCAUUAUAGUAAACAUAUCAUGACACUUAUUAAUAAAUUCAAUAAUAUGUACUAUAAUUUUUUUAUUUUAUCAUGAUAUACAAAUAAUAAUGUGCCUUUAGGCUACCUAUGAUGACACUCUGGAAACUGUGAGAUGAACCAAAAAAAAAAUCGAAAAAACAUAGAAAACGACAUCGUUUUAUUUUGGCUCCAAAACACUUGCUGAAGUACUGUGAAGUUUCAUUUUGCCAGCAAAAGGACUUGGUGAAAAUUUUCUUCUUUUCAUCUCUCUCACCUCUCAGCAUACAAGCUAUCUCGGCCAGUCCAGAAUGUUGGUAGCAAUCGAAGCUAUCUCCGCAAACAACCAUCUUUAUCUUUUCUAACCUCAACUUUAAAUCCCUCGGCUAAGACAUCUGGAAGGGCAGGCAGGAAGUAAAAGCUGAAGAACGGAGCUCUACAUUGGGAAAGCGGGAAGAUACUUCAGGUGCGCAUAUCUUGUUCCAAAAUUGAAGUGGUAAACACAAUGAAGCUGUUGCCCAUAACCUGUUCGAUAAAAUGUCAAUUCCCCUAUGUUUUUCAUUUUUUUCUGUGAAUCUCUUUUAAUGUUAAUAUAUGAAACAUAGUUGUAAUUGAAGCUCUGUUUAGGCUAUGAAUAGAAAUCGACUUGGAAGCUCUUUGAUGAAGAUCAAAAUAGCAAUGGGGUGACUGGAAUGACCUUUUUGCAAGACAAGUGCAAAAGUUUAAGAAAUAGCUAGGUUGAUGAAAAUUAAUAUUUAAGGACUUAAUUAAUGGACUUCUUGUUGAACUGCACAUUGGUCAUAGAUGACAUAGCACCCUUACUAAUUUGGCCAUAGUGUGGUAUACCCAGCUAGCAAAACUAAAGUUUGAAAGAUGAAUUGAAGGAAAUACUCGAAAGAUUGAAUCAAGAAGAAACUUUUGGAGAAGAAUGAAACUUUGGAUGCUUUGGAAAGUAGGGAAAGAGAGGGAUUUAUAGGAGAAAGGGAGGUGAAGGAGUGCAACUACCCCAACGAACUUUUAAUUGUGAUGGCGCGUAGGCAUUGAAUUUACCAGACAAGAAAAUAGCAGGAUUUCGUGUAAAACUGUAUUGUAUUUUUUAGUCUUUUUUCUUUUUUUUCUUCCCCUAUCCAUUUUCUUGUCGAACUUCCACCCCUCCCAGUUCAGGAUGACAUAGCACCCUUACGGGUUCUGUUUUUUUUUCUCAAUUUAGUCCUGUUUCUAGAUCAAUUAGCUGAACAGUCAUAGCAACUUAAAAGAAUCCUGGGACAAUCCUGGGACCAAAAGAAUCCUGAACAAUCAUGCUCAUGUGUUUGUUUAACCUUUGACAUUUCAGAUUGAAGUUAGGAGUUUUGCGAAGACGCGAGUGCAGGAGUUGGUGCGAAGGGCUUUGUUCUGGUAUUAGGUAAAUAUAAUUUCUAUCCGCUUGCUUGCAAAUUCUGUUUUUACAGAUUGUUGAGAAAUUUUACAUUUUGUUGAUUUCCUUUAUUUGCUGGGCUGCUUUAUUUAGUAGACUGUAAAUUCUUGAACUUGAAAUUAGGGACUUGUAAGCCAUGGCCUGAGUUUAAAAAAUCAGGGCGCUUCUUAUUCUCAAUGAUUUUAUGGGAUUUGUCUAGUUUUCUAAGUACUAAUGUGUAGUUGUUGUUUUCAUGCUCUUGGAAGCUUGUUGGAGGACAUUUAUUUAUAUUCAAAGUAUGGAUAAAAGAUGGAUGGAUUUUCCAAGAACAAGUGAAAAGUACGAGACAGGACUUCAAAUGUUUCUAAACUUUGCAUUUUCCAGAUCAAGUUGUGACGGAAAGAUUUUGUGUCCUUGCAAAGAUUGCGGCAUGGGUGUUUGUGUGACAAAAAUGGAAGCAUAUGAUCAUUUGAAAGUGGUAGGAUUUAUCAAGGAUUAUAAUAAUUGGAUAGCACAUGGAGAACUUUCAAACUACAAUGAAGCCACAUCUAAUUCUGAAAAUACAUCAAUUGGGGUUUCAAAUGGGACUAAUGACAUGCAAGACUUGGUCCAUGAUGUAUUUGGGAUACCAUAUGGAACAAAUGAAUUGAAUAGAGAAGGGGACAUUCCUGUUUCAGAUGCUGAAAAAUUUUACAAAUUGAUUGAUGAUUCUCAACAGGAUUUGUACAGUGGUUGCAAAAAUUUCUUGAAAUUGUCUUUCAUUAUUCGUUUGCUUCACCUAAAAUGCCUGGGUAAGAUGAGUAACAAGAUUUUUAAUACGCUUGUUGAGCUGUUGAGAGAAGCAUUUCCAAAGGCCAUGACUAAUUUGCCUUCUUCUUACUAUGAGGCUGAGAAAUUGAUGAAUACAUUGGGGCUGGGUUAUGAAAAGAUCGAUGCAUGUCCUAAUGAUUGUUCUCUUUAUUGGGGUAGUGCUGAAAAAAGAACUUCAUGCGAAACAUGUAACGAGCUUAGGUGGGUUGCUUCAGAAAAUGAUCCAACUGGCGAAAAAAGGAAAAUUCCUCAAAAAGUGUUGUGGCAUUUUCCCUUAAAACCUAGAUUACAAAGACUAUUUAUGUCUUCUAAAAUUGCGUCUCAAAUGAGAUGGCAUGAGGAAAAACGUACAAAAGAUGGUUGUAUGAGACAUCCAGCUGAUUUUCCAGCUUGGCAAACUUUUGACCAUCUACAUCCAGAAUUUGCUAAGGAUUGUCGAAAUGUUAGAUUGGGGUUGGCAUCUGACGGGUUUAAUCCAUUCAACAACAUGAGUUCUACACACAGUACUUGGCCUGUAGUUUUAAUACCAUAUAACUUACCUCCGUGGAUGUGUAUGAAGCAACCGUACU
rnacentral:lncRNA from 1 species